rnacentral:lncRNA from 1 species
UUUUUUUUUGUUUUUCUUGGUUCUGUGCUACUCUUUUUAUAUUUUAAUAAAAAUUGCAAUGGAGUUUUACCCUACUGUUCAUAGUCAAAAAUGUAUGUAGGCAUGUAUUCUGUAUAUAGUCAUACGUGCUUAUGAUAAGAACUUGCAUGACAUCUUUUGUUCUACCCUCCCGUGGCGGCGGGGUCUGACGGGGAUAUACCCUGCGGUAUGACCCGGCCGGAUAUAUGACCCGGCCGGACUUGAUGUUUCAUUGGUAACCGCCAGAGGAUUGGCGACUCACGUGUCCGGCGGCUCACUGGUGUGACGACUCACGAGCCUGAAGACUCAUGGCUGACCUGGCGGGUGCUUCAGAUGGACGACAAGGCCCAAGGCCCAGUAUGCCAGUUCGUAUAAAGGUGGGCCGGCUUAAGAGGAAAGGGAUGACGAAUAUUUCCUUUACGAGGAAGCAAGACCCGGGCUUGUAUUCAACUUGUAAGAAAAGAUAGACUAGUCCUAGUCCUACUAGGACUCCACAUGUAACCCACCCCUCUAACUUAUAUAAGGAGGGGCAGGGCUCCCCAAAGAGGGACAAGCAAUAAGAAAAUAAUCUCUAGGGGCUAGACAGAUCAAAGAGGAGAGCUGGCUUAUGUAGCGACUCCCUUAUGAUCAUAAUGAGACCUAGCCACAAACAGCAUGUAGGGUUAUUAUCGGAUGAUGUUUCCCGGGGCCCAAAGCUGUCUAAAUCCUCGUCUUGUGUGUUGCGUCUCUCGAUUCCGCUCAACCCUUUCAAGCUACCACAUAGAUGCGUUGGCCUCGCGACUAAGUCCUUACAUUAGGACAUCUGCCGUGACAAUUCUAUGAUAGUUGGCGCCCACCGUGGUGCUCGCGCAUGGUGGUGUUGAGUUCUUGGAGGGAUCUUUCACAAGGUUUCGAGAAGUUCGCAGUUUUCCGGAUGAAGAAGAACCGACUUGAAAGGAUCCACAUGGUCUCCAUGGCAAACAGCCGGAACGACGUAUGAGUUUUGAGAUGAAAGAAGUUUAGGGUUGCGUCUGUGUACCGCCGUGAUCUGCAAUCCGUCGAGACCGACAGAAGAUAGAUUUUCGUUUGAGCCUCACCUCCUGCGAUCUGUCAAAAGUUUCCGGCUCUCAGUCGGAGGAAGAGGAACACGUAAUUUUCAUCGUGAUAUACCAUGUGGCGGUACUCACGCACGAAUCCUGUAAUGAGUCCAUAUGUUGUGCACUAGACAAACCGAUCAAGCAACGGAGCAACCACUCAAAGGAAAAGUUAAAUUUGUUACCCAACCGCCGUACAGAUAGCCGUAUUGCGAUCGCCCAGCCAAUUCUGGCGUAACGCUGUCCGCGCGUGCCUAGGAUGGCCACGGGUCCUGAGGCGGAUCUCUGCACCUGUUGUCCUUGUAACAACCCCGUGGUGGCACAGUAUUGAACACAGAUGCCGCCAUGCACAGGAGUCAAGCAUCGCAAGUUGAGCACCCAGAUCAUUCUUUUCGUUAUACUACUAAACAGUACAGAAAAGCAGUCAUCGUGAGACGCUUGUGGGACUGGUAGUACUCAUAAUACAAUACUGGUUGCUCUCCUUGAGAAUCGCGUGGGAGACCAAAGUACUACUUGGCCAAAGUGAAUAUAUGAGUACUAAUCAGAAUUAGAUGAGUAGAAGACACAGUGGAUUUACAUGAGUAAUAAUUGAUGGUUACUAACAUGGAGGCCGCCGCCAGAUCCGGGUCACGGGAGAAGUUAACGACGGAAAGUAGACGAGGUCACGGACUCGACUCCUUUGCUGCUCCGAGCUGCCAGCUCGCCUUGCCAGGUCAAUUCUGCAGCAGCUAUGAGCCGUCCUCGCGAUUAAGCCAAUCAGUCGACCCACCGGUUUCGUACCACUCCUGAAGCGGCCCCGCGGCGAGUUGCCGCCUGUUUCAGCCACCGCUACAGUUUCAUGACAAAUAACUGGCCGCUGCCAUAACCCGCUUUGCCAGUGAUCUCUUUGACCGCUGCUGUUGAGCCGCCCAGAUCCGUGGACUUCACCUGCCAUGACCCGCCGCCCUUGCUGUGGCUGUCUGUGAGCCGCCGUCUCUAAAGCCGCGGAUGCUCCCUGCCUUUGUGGCCUCGCCUUUGCGUCGCCAUCGUGCCUCCACCUUUCUCGAUGUAGCCACGGGCUCACCUUGAGUCACCGUCGCACCUCGCCUCUGCCUUUGGCCUACCUCUGCUUGCUUUGAGCCGCUUGAUGUAGCUGUCGCGGCCUUUCCGCGAGCCCACGUCAACCCCGCGUCGCCAAGACCGACCGUACACUGGCGAGGUUCGGAUGCGCGGCUGUGUAUUCUCUUCCACACGCGAAUCAAGACCCGAGAACACAGCAUCGCACGCUGACCGGCUGGCUGAUGCUGCUCCACCCGUGAUCCACUCCCAUCAAGCGAAACUGGGUUAUUCACGGGACAGAUCAUCUGUCAUCCGGAUAAAUCAGGUGAAAUCUAUCUAAGUUUAUUUUAUUAAACAUGUUGUUUUCAUCAAAGAACAAUUACUUUGUUCUAUAUAUUUUUGCGUGCAGCAAAGGUGGUGCCAUGUUGUGCCUAUGAAGUGUAUGUCAGCACCAUCACGCACCAGCUUCUGCACCUGCUUACUGAUGGAACAGGUGUGCGCAAGUCGCCGCCCGUGCAGCCUAACCUACAUCAACCCGCCGGAGCCACGUUGAGCCGUCCUUGCCGCUUGAGCCGCCGAGGUUAUAUUAAGUCGCCGGUCAUCCUAAGCUACCGGAACUAUAUUGAGUCGCUGGUCUGCCUGAGCCACCUCUGUCGCGAUAAACGGAUCAUCCAUCGUCCAAACAAAUCAGGUGAUAUCCAUCCAAGUUUGUUUUAUUAGCACAUGUUGUUUUUGUCAAAGAACAAGUUUAUCUUUGCCUUGGUCUGCAAUAUUGCUUAUGCAGGGCAAUUAUUUAUGACAAAAAGUGAUAUUAUACCGUGGAGAUGGAGGCACGCCAACAUCUUUUGGCACAGGUGGUCGUCAUUACUCAAAUGGGCUCCCGCACCGGCUUACAAACGCCGUCGCUGUCUCUCGCGACCGCGUCGGCUUACAACAUCGUGGCCGUCUCUCACGACCGCGCCGGUUUACAAUGUCGUGGCCAUCUCGCACGACCACGAUGGCUUACAAUGAGGAGGACAACUUGCUCGUCCGCACCGACUUACAACACCGCGGCCGACUCAUCUAUCCAAUCCGCCUUUGAUGUUGCGGUCGUCUUUACCGCCCGUCUCUCGCGGCCUGGUCUACAUCAACAUACCGGGCCGCGCCUGUCUGCAUGAGUUGUUCAUUGAGUAUGAGCAAGUCACUACUUGGGAAGCCCGAUUUUCUCUUCCAACAAAUUGGAGGCAAAUUAUCAUAUCUUAUCAGCCGUCGUCUGCACUGGAUGGUUCAAUGGGUAGGCGCACAAGUCGCCACCACUACAGUUUGGUUAAAUUCAAACAGCCAGUUGGAAGGAGCCAUUGGCCGAGUUGCUGACAUGGCUCAUACGAGAUCAUUUAUAACCCGCCGCAGUCACCUCAACCUUCUGUAGGUUCACAUCACUCUAUCACCGCCAAUUAUAUACACCUCCUGCUAUGGUCAAAUAUGGAGAAUCUCAAGCCAACUCCUCAAGUCGUCUUGAGACUCGGGGUCUACAAUGGUAUGAAUCGGCAAAAUUAGCCGGUUUCAAUGAAUUCAAGAACUCCAGGUUAUUGAAGGGAAAAAUAACCGGGCCCCAGAGAUUGUUGCUAGAUCGAUGAAAAUUUAAAAGUUGUCAGAAGAUUUCCGGCUCAAAAUAAGGACUCUGGUUUAAAAUCCGGUUCAAGAGACAUCUCUCUCCCACAAAGCAUUGAAGCUCUUAAUAUCCAGUUCAAGGGAAAUUUAUUUACCACAAAGCUUUGAUGCUCUCAAAUCCAGUUCAAAUCCGGCUCAAGGUAAAUUUAUCUCUCACAAAGUUUUGAAGCUUUGACAUCCGGUUUAAAAGUUCCGGUUCAAAAAGAAUUAAUCUCUCGCAAGUUCGAGUUCUCAGAAAAAUUAAAGGUUACCAAAGGGAACUUGCUGCCAUGAUGCACGGUUCAAAACAUGGGUAUCCUGCCUUAUGGCUUAUUUUUCCUGCUCAUCGGGCAUAGCUAUCAGUACCCUCUUGAUCGGCGCAAUGCCAAAAAAUUUAUGGUCACUUGGGGGCUUCAUGUUCAAACAUAGGUCGUAUUCGAACCAAAGAGAACAUAGCUAUCAAUACCCUUUUGAUUAGCAAACUGCUGAACCUACUUGGGGGCUUCUUGAUCGUAUCCGAAUCAUAGCUCAACCCCUUUGGGAAUCGACGUCGAUCGUAUUCGAAUCAGCAUCGUUAAACAACUUUUAAGGUCAUUUGGGGACUUCCUGUUCAAACAUAGGUCGUAUUCAAACCAAAGAGAACAUAGUUGUCGAUACCUACUUUGAUCGGCAACGCCAACGCCACUGGGGGUUAUAUGAUCGUAUUCGAAUCUUAGCUUAACCCCUUUGGAACGGUUUACUGAUCGUAUUCGAAUUAGAAGCCUCAAAAAAUUUAUCUAUUUUUAUACAAUCGCAAGUAUUUGAGUUGUCACAAAUAUCAUAUGUGCCGGCUCUUACAGAGUUGAGUUAUCAACUUCACUGUCCGGGUCACAUAAGCCGGCGGUAUCAUUCAAAAGAUCAUAGGGAUCUUGUGAUCUACUUGUGUGCAGGAUAAGACUACAUUUGGGUGGUUACCCGCCCUGGCUUUUGACGUUAAGUCACCAGGGCAUAUGUUGUUUAAACUCUUUGCAGGAUUUGCAGAAAUAUGACAUAUAAAUGAUUAAGUUCAAGCUCAUUACCAAAGUUGAUGCUUCAAAAUGAUUAUCCGUUCUGGAUUUUUCUCAAAGGCUAUAAGCCGCCGGGUUAUAAAAAUUCCGGCCAAGAGCCGCCGGGUAUUUAAUCUUUGGAUUUACUUAUCAACAGAUGAGGUAUUCAAAGUCGCUUUGGCGCAAUGGCUAUUAUUUUAUUAAUGGAUAUGAUUUAUUCUAUGAUGGAAGGAAUAGUCCCGAGUCGCUGCAGGCUUACGACCCAGCACUUGGGGGCUACAUUAUUCAAAUUGAGGUUACAUCAAAUAUGCAAGUCUCAUGUCGCUGCAAGCAUGCACCAUGACACUUGGGGGCUCAUGCAAAGUCAUUUUUUGCUCAACUUAUUGAAGACCCGACUCAUCACAUUCUAAAUGAGUUGGCCCUUGGGGGCUACCAAUUGUUCAUGUCAAAAAUUCAAGGUACACAAGCAUUAAUCCAUUAUAUUGAACGGUCCACUAUUCAGUUGGUGGAGUACAAAGCUCUUAACCUUGUGGACGUGGGUUCAAACCCCAUGGUGGAGACUAUAUUAUAUGAUGGUAUUAUCAAUUAUAUACAAAGUCCCACCUCAGUAUUAUCUUACUAAGCCGGCCCUUGCGGGCUACACAUUGAUGUUCAAAUUUACAUGGUUAUAUCUACAAAGUCCCUGCUCAUUAUUGCAUAAUGACCCGGCCCUUGGGGGAUACACUGGUUGAAAUUUUCAUGAGCAUAAAGCAAUUACAAGUCCCAGGUUGCUGCAAGCAUGACAACCCGACACUUGGGGGCUGCAUGUGUGGAAUAUUCAGUUUAUAUGAUUGAGAUGAAUAAACCGGAUUUCUUCAAGGUUGCAACAUUUAUUGGAGCAAGUCUUAAACCAUCACUUUGUUCUUCUCAAGACUUGGGGGCUACAGGUAAUAUGGAUAUGAGGGAGAAAAAUCUUCAAAUUAUUAGUUUUGAGCAAAUCAGGAGGAUCAAUUACAUAAACCGGUGUCAACAACAAUUAUGACCCGGCAUCGUCUGUUUUAUAAUCCGGCAGUUUUUGGUAAUGAUAAACCGGCAAGUUUUACAUCUUCAAGCCGGUUGAAUAUCAGAUGAGUAUUUGAAGACCAAAAUUAUUUAACCCGGCGCCUUGGAAGCCGACUCAAGUGGAUUAUUCUUCACAAUAUUUUUCUGUGAGAAACCAACAUCAACAAAUUAAGUAUGAAGCUAGCUUAUUUGACCCGGAUUUUCUAGAUGAAGGAAAUGACAAUUGGACUUAAGGAUAAUCAGGUCCCGUCUUAGGAGAAUAUUUAACCCGGAGCACAAGGAAUUAAGGAUGAUCAGGUGUCGGCGUACAAGAAUUUUAAACCCGGAACACAAUCUGUCAAAGUUGUUCUUGUGUUUUUUUACAGGAUCAUUUUAAAAUGGAUAAAUCCAAAUUAAACUGGGGGCUAAUGUCGGGGAUAUACCCUGCGGUAUGACCCGGCCGGAUAUAUGACCCGUCCGGACUUGAUGUUUCAUUGGUAAUCGCCAGAGGAUUGGUGACUCACGUGUCCGGCGGCUCACUGGUGUGAUGACUCACGGGCCUGAAGACUCAUGGGUGACCCGGUGGGUGCUUCAGACGGACGACAAGGCCCAAGGCCCAGUAUGCUGAUUCAUAUAAAGGUGGGCCGGCUUAAGAGGAAAGGGAUGACGAAUAUUUCCUUUACGAGGAAGCAAGACCCGGACUUGUAUUCAACUUGUAAGAAAAGAUAGACUAGUCCUAGUCCUACUAGGACUCCACAUGUAACCCACCCCUCUAACUUAUAUAAGGAGGGGCAGGGCUCCCCAAAGAGGGACAAGCAAUAAGAAAAUAAUCUCUAGGGGCAAGACAGAUCAAAGAGGAGAGCCGGCUUAUGCAGCGACUCCCUUAUGAUCAUAAUGAGACCUAGCCACAAAUAGCGUGUAGGGUUAUUACCGGAUGAUGUUUCCCGGGGCCCGAAGCUGUCUAAAUCCUCGUCUUGUGUGUUGCGUCUCUCGAUUCCGCUCAACCCUUUCAAGCUACCACAUAGAUGCAUUAGCCUCCCGACUAAGUCCUUACAUUAGGACAUCUAUCGUGACAAUUCUACGACAGGGUCCAUAAGGAAACUAAGGGAUACUAAGGCCUCCCUUUAAUAGAGAACCGGAACAAAGCAUUAACACAUAGUGAAUACAUGAACUCCUCAAACUAUGGUAAUCAUGGAAAUAAUCCCAAUUAUUAUAAACUUGGGGUAUGUGGAUCAUAACACGUAAUAGGUGCAUAUAACUUGCAAGAUAGGAUUAAGAACUCAAAUAUAUUCAUGAAAACAUAAAGGGUUCCGAUCUAAAAUCGUGGCACUCGAGCCCUAGUGACAAGCAUUAGGCAUAGCAAAGUCAUAGCAACAUCAAUCUCAAAACAUAGUGGAUACUAGGGAUCAAGACCUCACAAAUUGACUCGAUUACAUGACAAAUCUCAUCCAACCCCAUGACCAUCCAGCAAACCUAUGAAGGAAUUACUCACUCCCGAUGGUGAGCAUCGUGAAAUUGGUGAGGAAGAAGGGUUGACGAUGAGUAUGGUGAUGAAUUCCACACUCUGUAGCCCCGAACGGACUCGUGAUCAGCCCUUCCGAUGAAGAACAGGAGGUGACGGCGGCUCUAUAUCAUAAAACAUUAUGAUUCCUUCUCUCUAAUUUUUCCUGGACGAACAUGUACUUAUGGAGUUGGAGUUAGGGUUGCUGGAGCUGCUAGGGGCCCACAAGCCUGCUAGGCACGCCCUGGGGGUGGGCACGCCCUUAGGCUUAUGGCACCCUCAUGGUCCCCAUCUGGUAAUUCUCUUCGCCAAUAUUUGUUAUAUAUUCUGGAAAUAUUCUCAGUAAAUUUUCAGCCAAUCUGAGAACUUUAUUUCCGCAAAAAAAUAACACCAUGGCAAUUCUGCUGAAAACAACGCUAAUCUGGGUUAAUUCCAUUCAAAUCAUGCAAAUUAUAGUCCAAAACAAGAGCAAAAGUGUUUGAAAAGUAUAUAUGUUUGUGAUGUAUGAAAGUUUGAUGAAGAAAAUGUGUUACCUAAGCAGCAAGAUCAAGACAAUCAAACUGAUGAGGAAAUUGAAGUUGAGAAGGCAAAUCCAUCGCCUUUGAAAACUUUGUAGGUUGAGCCCUCCAGUUCCAAUAAGGAGGAGACUAACAAGAUUGAGGGGGAGGCAAAUGCUUCCCGACAUAAAACAUCCCUGGUCACAGCAUCUGGUGCUGUCACCCAGAUGGAUGUUGAUCAUGCUCCUCAUUCCAUUGCUUCACACAUGGAAGAGGAAGAAAAGAAACCAAAUGAGCUGAUGGAUCAAGAAGUGAUUGCACCACCAGUUGUCCCGCAAGUCUCUGAGCAUGAGGUCAUUGUGCCUCCAUCCGAGCAGAAGAAAGAAAAGGCCCUAGUGCCCGAAGGCCAGAAAAGUCGUUGAAGGAGUUACAUCGAGCAACAAAGAUGGUUCCUUAGGUUCCUCAAAGCCAUCAGUGCAAGCAAAGCCGAGGAAGGUUGGUGCUCCUCUCAUACCUAUAGAUGAAGAUCUACCUGAGCCUGAUGAUUUUCGGACUCAGCGCAUGGCUGAUGAAGAACUGAGAAACCCCUUGGAAACAUUACCUUUGCUUACAGUCGAAGAUGCCCCGAAUGGUCCAACUUUCAAUGAAUAGCUUCACAAUUCGAAGCUUGCAUUCUUUGGGACCAUCCCAUAUGAAGGGGAGCGAGCAUCUUUAUCACCAAGAUUCUAGACUAAGGAACAUGCAGUUUAUUAUGCGUGCAUUCUAUUCUAUAAGAAUCACAUAUUCAAGUACAAGAUUCUGGAUUUUGUUGAGCUCGAAAGGUUGCCUUGUUUUCACCAUACCAUCAAGCAAAUUGAGCAAGUCUUUUUGAAAGGAUUUCUGUAUUUCAAUCAUGAUGGAAUCGGGAAGGUAUUCUUCAAUUCUAUGCCCCCUAUAUAUCUCAGGAGACAUUGCAGAUAGCAGCACAUGGCUUCUCGUAUGGAUGACCGGAGAAGAGAAGAUCAUGUGCUCUAUAGAUCAGUUUUUAGCAUUGCUAAAUAUUCCUCGGUGUGAAUUUGAUGAGGCUCGCAAACACAGACUACACUUUUGGGAAGUCACUGAAGCUCAAAUUCAUAUGCCGAUGGACCUCAAGCUUGUUAGAGAUGCUUGUACUGAAGUUAAACCGAAAAAUCUAGUGUAUGAGAACAAAGUGUUGUUCAACAUAUUGUGCAACUCUCUCACCCCAACUAACCGACCGAAAAAUAUUGGUGGCAUUGUGGCAAAUACACUUAAUGGAACAUCUCAUGGAAUUUGGUUUGAUGUUCCUAAGCUAUUCAUUCAGAACAUGGCCUAUGCAGCGGGUGGCGCUCAAGCUUCGAAGCCGUAUACUCCAUGGAUUAUAUAUGCCAUAGAGCAACUUACUAAGAAAAAAAAUUGUCCUCAUGUGCCAAAAGCUUUCACUCCUCCAGUCCGUGACAUCUACGAAUUGUAAAGGAUAUAGGCAAAGGAAAGACACCCAUUAAUGCAACCACUCCUGAUUCAGCUCGAGCUCCGAAGGUCAAGAAGGCCAUUGUUAAAAUCCCUCGAGAUGAAAAUCCUUUGCUAUACAAGAUUUUUCUUCGCACUCAGCAAGCUCUUGAGAGCCAUAUUAAGCUUGAACGCAAAGUAAAAGUGGAGAUGAUGGCUCAAAUAAAUCUGCUUCGCAAUUAUGCUCGUGAAACUCUUCUGCAUGAGAAGGAACAGAAGAAGUGCUCCUGGGCUCUUUUGCGAAAACAUUGCACUCGUAAGCAGCUCUCUGCCAAGGGCAUCAAAAAGAACUAUGAUUAUCUAGAGUUGUUCGAAAUUCCUAGCAUUCGAAGAGAAACUCUAGUUCUGCCUCAGAGGUCUAACUCCACUAGUCUGCUAUUUGUACUGACCGGUGAUGACAUUGAAGACAUUGCAUACUCCCUAAUUUACAAGCUAGAUGCUCCUCACUUUGAAGAUCACGGAGAUGAUACCAAAGCCAAAGACAGAAGCCCUGCUCUAGCCUCGGCCUCCACCAUUCCUUGUUCUGAUUCAUCGAAUAGUUUGAGUUCUGAGGGUUGUUCGAACGAGUAGUUCCUUGCAUGCAUUCUCCUUCCUUUUUGACACUUGCUGACAAAAAGGGGGAGAACAACAUCGAGAGCUAUAUAUGCAGGUUAUUUGCAGGUUUUGCAUUCAUCUUUUGCUUUUUAGUUGAACAAUUGGUUUUUCUGUAGUUGAACUAUUUGCUUAAGUGGUAGUUAAACCUUAUAGCACCGCAUGUGGUGCUGGAAAACCUCGUCGUCAUGUAAUGUUAAUAACCUCCCUGCAAUGCUAUAUUUCCCUCAUGUCUUUGGUUGCAUGUGCCUCCAAAAUUUACCCUCUUGCAAUAUUGUUUUCUCUUAUCUUCUUGUAGAGAAAGCAAUAGCAGCUGAGAAAGGAUUACACAUACUCAUUUCUCUGAAGAGAAAUGCACUUAUCUCGAUGAGAUGUAUUUCCUGUCAUGAUUUCUCAUUGAUUUCUGACUUGCAGGAGAAUACCUUCAAAAGCAUAUCUACCUCGAGCAAAAUCAUAGCUUAUACCUUGCUCUGUAAUUACCUAGUUAUCUAACCUUGUAGGGUAGUCAUUUAUCUCAUGUGGAUUCAAACCAUGUUCUGGGAAAAUCUUCAUGGCUUAUUUUUGUGACAAAUCAUUUCAAAGUAUUCAUACUCUUUAACAAAUCUUCUUCAAUGAUUUUGUGUCACAGGAAACAUCUCAGAUACUAUUGAGUGUAUUGAAUAAGUCAAUGAAUGACAUCUACUAUCAAUGUUGCUCAAGUGAAGAUUCGGAUUGCCUCCCUUCUACUUACAUACUUAUGCAUGACUUCAGUCAAAUUUUCAGUCAGAUGCAUACCUUCAAGGGGGGGUGUCUCAUCUUCGUGAUUACCUUUCGCUACUUAUUUUCCUUCUCAAUACAUUCCAUUAUCCUUUCAUCUACCUUUCGAUGUGUUCUAUUUUGUCGACAACUAUCCAAAAAGGGGGAGAUUGUUGGUAUAAAGUCUUUCCCCCUUAUGUUUUGGAGAUUAUUGGCAAAAAUAGGCAAGGAUAGAUUUGUUUGCUAGUGCACACAGAGAUAAAGAGUCCAUGUGAGUCCGAAGAGAAUGUUGCAUUUGGUGUUAAGUUUGAGGAACUUCACCAAAGAAUAUAUGCGCUACAUAGAAAGAUGAGCUUUGUUUCGCUAAGAUGUAUUUGUGAGAAGAUUGAAGUGAAGGAGUUGACCCCUCAAAAUUAUUGCUAAUGUGAGGAUGUUCGAUGUUGUCUGAACAAAUUGAUUGCAGUCGCAAAGUUGAAGACAAAAUGAAGACAUAGCAUUUAUUUCUUUGUUCUUCUUUCUCUCUUUUUGAGUCAUAGGACCUUCGUACUAUUAAGAGGGCUAUAGGUUCUUGAUGCUUAGGUCCACUGUGAUGCUUAGCCGAAACCUUUGAAAGAGAGAAAUCUCUUUAUACUUUGAAUGAUUACCUGUCAUCAGAAGACGUUGUUCUUCGGUGCUGCAGGAUAUAUCUUUCAAACUGAGGAGUUAGCAUUUCUUUCUCCACAAGGACUGUUACCACUAUGCUCAAUUUCCGACCAUUGGAAUUGUGUCAUUCAGCCAUUGGCUGAUUCGCAUGUCCAAUUUGGUCAUUUCCCAUCAGGGAAGGUGAUUGCGUGUAUCUCCGUUGGUAAUUCCCCAAAGAGGAGAGGAUGAUGCGACACAACAACGGUAAGUAUUUCCCUCAGUUAUGAAACCAAGGUUAAUAAUCCAGUACAAGAACCAAGCACUAUGUAAACGGUACCUGCACACAAAGAACAAAUACUUGCAAACCAAUGCGUAAGAGGGGUUGUCAAUCCCUCCUCAGUAUUGAGAUAGAUUAAAUUUCUAUGAGAUUUGAUAAAUAGAUCUAACAAAAGCACAAAAUAAAAUAAAGAAAGAAAAAGUGAAGCAAGGUAUUUUUGGGUUUUUGGAAUAAUAGAUCUAAAAAUAAUAUGAUAGGAAAUAGAAAUAGACCCAGGGGUCGUAGAUUUCACUAGUGGCUUCUCUCGAGAAAAUAGCAUACGGUGGGUAAACAAAUUAUUGUUGGGCAAUUGAUAUAAAAGCAAAUAAUCAUGACGAUAUCCAAGGAAAUGAUCAUGUAUAUAGGCAUCACAUCCAAGAUUAGUAGACCGACUCCUGCAUGCAUCUACUACUAUUACUCCACACAUCGAACGCGGUCCAGCAUGCAUCUAGUGUAUUAAGUUCAUGGAGAAAUGGAGUAAUGCAAUAAGAACGAUGACAUGAUGUAGACAAGAUCUAUUCAUGUAGGCAGUGGUGGACCCAGGAAUUGAACUUAGCCGGGGCGAACAUUUAAGGCCUAAAAAUCUAAAGGUACAAAUGCAAAUCUACUCAACCAAGACUCAUGAAAUUCAUCUACUAAAAACAAGAAAAAUCAUAGAAAGGUCUUAAAAACUACUAACAUAGGCUCUUGCCGCUUGAAAUGCUCACCUGAUGCCACAAUACGACCUCACAAUACCAAGCGACACCUACAGCAUAUGAACCAAAAAAUUAUGAAUGUAAAUCUUAGCGCAAGUGUGAUAGCAAUUGUAGCUUUUGAUAAGAUGCAGGGCCGGGAAGUUGCAUUGAAAAACAAAAACAACACAACUGCUCUAAUAUGCACUAGAACCAGGAGAUAAUUCAGCAGAGGCUCUAACUAGGACCAAAUUCUAGCAAUAGAUUGGGGACAAAUGAACAAUUCCAACAACAAUCCCACGGAACAGGACCAUGGAAACUAGCAAUAGCCAUGUGCUGAUGUACGUAUGAACAAGAUACUAAGAGGGAGUAUAAGCGAGGGAGGGAAGGGAGACGUACCGCCCUGCUUCUACUUCUUUGUGAUGGACGAUAGCAGUAGUGCAGUAACGAUGCUCCAGUGGUUCAUGGACGAGAUCCUGGACCACCCCGCCACAAGACGCACCUCAGGGAAUGUCGGCCGGCCCCCGCGCAGGUGCCGCCGUCAGCCGCGAGCCCGCAACCACCCUGUCCCUCUAAGCGGAGCGGCGGGCGGCGGCACGGAGCAGUGGGCGGUGGCGCAGAGGCGGACGGUGGCACGCCAACUUGGAGCGGCGGGCGGCGGGUGGCGGGCGGCACCGCAGCAACGGCGUGCACACGCGGGGAGCUAGGGAUUUGGAGAAAGACGAACAGGAGCGAGAGGAUUCGAUUUUCAGCCGUGCACACACUCCUGCCCGAGCGAUUCUAGCCUAAUUGGGCUUUCCUUGAGUGUAAACAGUCCAGCCCAUUUCUCUCCCGAGCGUACCCCUUUGUCCAGUCUUCCUCCUACAACGCGGAAUUACAGAUACAGCGCCGCAGCCGGACUCAACUGGCUGCUCUGCUCAUCGCCGCCGCCUGCCGGAGAAAGGAUAGGUAGGGAGGGUGCCUGAUCCGCCGCCGGUGACCCGGGGCGACCGCCCCUGCUCGCCCCCAUGGUGGAUCCGCCACUGCAUGUAGGACUAGACCCCAUCUUUUUAUCCUUAAUAGCAAUGAUACAUGCGUGUCAUGUCUCCUUUUGUCACUGAGAUUGAGCACCGCAAGAUCGAACCCAUCACAAAGCACCUCUUCUCAUUGCAAGAAAAAUCAAUCUAGUUGGCCAAACAAAACCAAAGUUUCGGAGAAGAAAUACGAGGCUAUAAUAAUCAUGCAUAUAAGAGAUCAAAGAAGACUCAAAUAAUAUUAUAGAUAAAAGUGAUCAUAAACUCGCAAUUCAUCGGAUCCCAACAAACACAUCGCAAAAAGUCAUUACAUCAAAUAGAUCUCCAAGAACAUCGAGGAGAACAUUGUAUUGAGAAUCAAAAAGAGAGAAGAAGCCAUCUAGCUACUACCUACGGACCGGUAGGUCUAUGCUAAACUACCCAUGCAUCAUCGGAGGAGCACCAAUGAGGAUGGUGAAUCCCUCUAUGAUCGUGUUCCCCUCCGGCAAGGUGCCAGAAAAGGGCUCUAGAUUGGAUCUCGUGGUUCUUGAACUUGCGGCGGCUGGAAUUGUUAUUCGUCGCCUCCCCCAGGGUUUCUGGAAUAUUUGGGUAUUUAUAGAGCUCAGAGGCGGUGGAAAGGACCUCCAUGGGCCCCACUACCCAUCAAGGCGCGCCAGGGGCCUCUAGCGCACCCAAGUGGGUAAUGGGCCCCACAGGCCUCCCCUCUAGUACUUCCUUGGGUCCCAAGUUGUCUUUUGGGCAGAAAAAAAUCUCCAAAAAGUUUCACUGCGUUUGGACUCCGUUUGAUAUGGAUAUUCUGCGAAGUAUAAAACAAGCAAAAAAACAGCAACUGGCACUUGGCACUAUGUCAAUAGGUUAGUCCCAAAAUGGUACAAAGUUGCUAUAAAAUUAAUAUAAAACAUCCAAGAAUGAUAAUGUAACAGCAUGGAACAAUAAAAAAUUAUAGAUAUGUUGGAGACGUAUCAGAAAGUUGUGGCUACAAAUAGCCAUCCCGGUCCAACGUUGGCCGUUGGCCGCUCCGCUUAAAAUUUCUGAGAAGAUUGAUUGAGCAUCCCCUUUCUGAGAGAUUUGAGUUAAAUCCACGAGAGAAAACCAAGAGCCGAAACUUAGACAAUGAUUGAGCAUCAUAGUAGUUCUAAGCUAGUGUUCUUGUACCUAGUACUCUUGAGAGUUGCACACUCUCUAGACGGAUAGGUGUCGGCUUGAGUCUUCACCAAGAAAAGUCUUUAGCAACCAAGAGUUAUUUUGGUUUAUGAAGAAGUUUGUCGAAGGUUUGUACAUCUCCGACAAGUAUCUACCAUGAGUUAAAUCAACUGGAGUCUGAUCAGCUCCUAGUUGAAGGAGAAUAGGACAAAGAGAGGUUUGCUCCUAUGUUCAAUCACAAGUCCCUCCAACCAGAUGUAGUACUUUGGCAAAAGGGCUAAGUGGUUUACCAAAUCCUUCUAUCGCCACCAAGCACCACUAGUUUAUCUCUCUUUAUUGCUUUUCCUUCAACAGUUUACUUCGGUGCUCUGUGUCGAUAGAUAUAUCGGAUCUAGUAAUGUGUAUCGUCUGCUUUAGCCUGUAUAUAUUUCGUUGUCAUCUUAGUUUAUUCUGUUAGAUUUGCCUUCAUAUCUUUGUUAUCAUUAUUCCAUGUUACUUCAUAUGAUAUCUUACAGCAUCACCAUUGUUAUCAUCAAGCCCGUGAUCUAUAAUGCUCGUAUUAUUAUAACUUCUUACCUUGAAUGAUUUGCUCCUCAAUAAAGUGCACGUUCAUUAUUCUCUUAUUCGAAUGUAUUAUGUUGUGGUGUUUGGGCUCAAUUCAAAACAUUUGCAAGAUUUUUAAUCUCCCAUUCACCCCUCCCCCCACCUGGUCGAUAUACUCUCAGUCCUAAUAGUUUCCAAAAGAAUAGACUACUACUGUACCAUAUAGGGGAGAAGCCGAUUCAGCGAAGAGUAAUGGUUGCUUCGUCAGUCUAACUUACAGCAGACUCUAUGUGAUUUGACGGCUCAUUAGUCAUUAUUGCUAUGGCGGCACGGCCGUGGUGAGUCUCAGUUGUUCUAUGACACUCUACUUUGGUGCAUGACACGUUGACCUGGAUGGUGGAUGUCCCACAUUUUGGCAGAAGGAGGUAGGAUGAUUUCGAAGCUAGGAACCGUGCCAUAGAGCAUCUUUGAUUCGUUCAUGUGUGGUACCCGACUGUCACGCCCAAUAUGUGAACCUAUCCGAGAGGAACUCAAAGGUCCCACCAAGAUAGAGCCGCAUAUUGAAGACGCUUUUGCAAGGUGGAUAUCAUUACAUCAUACCAUUACAUAAUAGAUGGUGAUAUAUACAAAAGGCAUGCAAUUGUCACAUAAAUACAUCAAACAUCAUACACAAGAGCGACAUCCGACUACGGAUGAAAUCAAACGAAAAAGACAAAUGACAUCCACCCUGCUAGCCCAGGCUGUCGACCAGGAACCUAUCCCCUGAUCGAAGAAGAAGAAGAAUAACUCGAAAACAAGCAAGCAUCACUCUCACAUCAGAUCAUCACAUUACCUGUACCUGCAACUAUUUUUGUAGUAAUCUGUGAGCCACGAGGACUCAGCAAUCCCAUUACCAUGGGUAUCAAGACUAGCAAAGCUUAAUGGGUAUGGAAUGGAUAAGUGGUGAGGUUGCAGCAGCACUAAGCAUUGUAUGGUAGCUAACUUAUGAGUACAAGAAUAAGAUGAUAAACUACGCAAAGGUCGCGAACUAGUAAUGAUCAAGAAGUGAUCCUGAACUACUUACGUUCAAACAUAACCCCACCGUGUUCUCUUCUUGACUCACCGAACAAGAGACGGGCACGGUUACGCUCGCGAUUGGUGUAUUUUAAUUCAGAUCUGGUCUCAAGUUCUCUACAACCAUAUAUUAAAAAUUCCCAUCUGCCACAUAACUACGGGCACGACUCUCGAAAGUUUAAACCCUGCAGGGGUGUCCCAACUUAGCCCACGACAAGCUCUCACGAUCAACGGAGGAAAAUUCUCCUCCCGGAAACAACCCGAUCAAACUUGGAAUCCCGGUUCACAAGUCAUUUCGACAAUGGUAAAAAAGUCCAGUAAGACCACCCGGUGCGUCGAUACCCCAAUAAGAGACACACGUAUCUCGUUCUCGGGACAACACCGUCUGUGCUAAGUGGACGAUAGCCAAAUACCUCGAGUUGGCACAAGGUGGCACCGCCGACUGCUAGGUAGGUGGACCAACAUUCAUGAGGAGCAUUGGCCUGGGGGUUGAUUAAGAGACCUCAAGGGCCGGCAGGUCCCUAUGCAGGUUUUAGUUGUUAUUAGGCAAAUGGUAAAACCAAUGUUCGGCCUUGCUGGAAGAGUUUUCUUCAAAGCGAACUGUCAAGGGGGCCCAUAAUCCCCAACCGUGUUAGGAACGCAAAAUCAAGGAACAUAACACCGGUAUAUAGAAACUAGAGCGGCAAGAAUGGAACAAAACACCAGGCAAAAGGUCGAGCCUUCCACCCUUUACCAAGUAUAUAGAUGCAUUAAUUAAAUAAGAGACAUUGUAAUAUCCCAUGAUAUCCAUGUCCCAACAUGGAACAACCUACACUGCACCUGCAACUAGCAACACUAUCAAAGGGGCUGAGCAAAGCGGCAACAUAGCCAAAAAAUGGUUUGCUAGGAGGGUGGAAAAGGUUAGAGGCUAUCAUGGCAAUUUCGGAGGCUUGAUAAACAAGUGGUAGGUAGCGCGACAUAGCGAUAGCAUCGAGACAACUAGCAUAGCAAAGAUAGUAGUGAGAUCCAAGGUGAUGGUCAUCUUGCCCGAAAUCCCACUAGGAAGAAGAACGAGUCCAUGAAGAAGAUGAACGGGCGUAUACGAAGCAAGCGUAGACAAACAAAUCCUCACGAUCGCAAUGAAACAGGAACUAUCGAGAAGAAGCAAACAACACGGUAAACACACAAUGUGUACCAUGGCAUGAUGCUCAUCCAAGUAUGAUCCAUGACAUGGCUACAUGAUGCAUACAACAACACCACAUCAAACCAAGUUUAAAUGAGGUCGGAAUCAACAUACAACAAUUCCGGUAAGUCCUCAUAUGAAAAUUUUGAAAUUGGUCCAGAUCUGAACAAAAUAUUAUGUAAAAGUUUAUAAAUAGCAAGUUGAAGUGCUCCAUGAUGAUUUACGUGGUUUUCUAGUCAAGUUACAUAUAAAGUUCAUUUAAUUCGGAGCUACGGCCUAGAGGAUAUGAGCAACACAAGUUAAACAUGGCAUUGAUGCAAAAUGCAUUCAAACAUUAAGCACACAUGCUCAAAACAUGUAUGCAACAAGAUAAUAUGAAACUACAUGCAGUUCUAAGCAAGUUCCAUAUAGGACAUGAUCAAAACGGAGCAACGGUUCAACAUAUACACUCAAAGCAAGUUUAAAGGACAAUCUACCCAAAACAGCAAGUAAGCAUAUGGCAAGCAUCAAAACAACAUUCUACAGGAAAUAUAUGAGCACAAACUUGAUAUACACUCAAAGGACAGAUAACUUGCUCCAAAUAUCUUUAAGGUUCGGGUUCAUAGUCAUCAAGAUUAACCCAAUAUGAUCAAUGCAAAAUGCAAUUUUAUAAAACAGAUUAGGACAGUGAAAAACUAGGCAUAUGCAUGAACAGGGUUAAUAUGGUGGCAUGUUGGAGGCAUUAAACAAGUAUGCUAUAGUGCAUGAACAUGUCAUCAAAAGGUAUUUCAUGCUAGUACAUAUCAUGUAGCUCAACUAAUGUAACAUGGCAUAAGCAUAAGAGCAACAGGUUCAUGGCAUUCAUCAAGACAAGAUGCAAACAUGAAAUGAGCUGAUUCUCACACCUUGUGAAAUCUAGGAAUGCAAAAUAGCAACAUUAUGAUGCUGACUUUAAAGGCACAUAACAGCAAACAUAGAAAUUUUAAUAAACAUGCAAAGGUCCUAAGCAUGUAGUGGGCAUGACAUGCUCCAACUUACUCCAUGGGCACAACUCCAUAUGAUGCAUAGAUUAAUUGCAAUGAGCUUUGCAAAAUGGAAAAUGUUGUUAACAGGUUGACAGAUUUAGCAUGAUGGCAAAUUGAGAGCAAGAAAGAGACAAGCUACAGCAAGUUUAUAUGGCAACCAAAGGCAUUGAUGGAUAGAGCAUAAUAUGGUCAUCAAAACAUUGUUACUGAAUAUCUCCAAAAUAUGCAUAGAUUUGACGGUAGCAUAAAGUAAACAUGACAUCAUAAUAUAACAGAUUCAGACAGCAGAAUUAACCAAGUCUCUGAAAACAGCAAACAGUGAGUAAACCACUUCGUAAGCUUGUGCUAGUCGCCACAGGGCAUAUCAUGAAAAAUGGAUUACACCAUGGCAAAGAUGACAUGAUUGUGCUUCUAAGCAUGUAGACAUGAUGCUAAAAAAGUCACACAAAAAGAUAAGAAAAUGACAAAUUGAUAAGUUAUAACAGUUUUCAGCCGAUUAUAACACUUAGCACUUGUGUAUCUAAGAUUAUGGCAUCAAGAUGAAUCCUAUCAUGAAUGCAAAGUACACCAUCAUGAAGAAUAUGCAGAGCAGAAUAUUUUGACAUAUUAUACACUCCAAAUGGAUACACAUGCACAAAGUUACACCCAAUACAAUAAUGAAACAUGAUGUUGAUUCCUAGGGACUUGCCCGUUUCAGAGAAAAACAGAGGGCGCAAAAAAUACUAUUUCACGCACAGGGCGGGGAAUAGCAGUGCUCACCACUGGGCUCGGCCCAGGACGCAAAGCGGCCAGCAGGGAGGCUGCAGCGGGCCUCAGGCAUGAGGUGGCUCACAUGGCCGGCAACAUAGGGCCCGACGCGGGGUGGAGGCCCACUUGGGCGAGCGAGAGGCUGUGGGCGCCGUCGUCCUCCUCGAUCAGGAUCAAGGUCGGCACAUUGUGGCGGGCUUCGGUGAGGCGAGGAACGGCGGUGAGGCCAGGAACAUGACGGAUCCGAGCGGAUCUGGUGCGGUGGGUCCAUUCCCGGCGACGGAUGGCGGUGGCGAGGAGCUCCGGUGGCGCGGAACAUACAUCCUGCAAAGGAGGGAGAGAGCAGGCAAUGAGGGAGAGAGGAGAUAAAAGGAAGGAGGAAGGAGGAGAGGGAGCGGGGUCCGCCUGGGGGUCACCGGCGAUGGGGCUCCGGCGGGAGGAGGUCGGCGAACUCCGUCGGGGCGCGAGGACAACGACCGGCGGCGGGGUUUGAGAGCUUGGGCGGAGUCGGAGGUUGGGCAAGCGCUUCACGGGGCAGGGGCGCGGGGCGCUUGCGGGCGCAUGGCAGCGGCGGCCGGGCCUAGUGGGCCAGAUCUGGGCCCGCAGGGCCUAGCGCAGUGGAGGCUAGCGGCUGGCGGCGGGACGGCGGUGCAAAAAGCAAGGCAUGGGCUAGGGUUUCAAAAAACUAGGGCUAGGAGGUCUAUAUAUAGGCACGAGGGGCUAGGGUUGGUGGUCUGGGGGUGUUUUCGAGCCGUUCGAUCUCGAUCGGACAGCUCCGGUGAGAGGGGGAAGGUAAGUUGGGUUAGGUGGACUGUGUAUAAGGGGUUGGGCUGAGAGGAGAGAAGAUAAGUGCAGCCGGGGAGGUUUUCGGAGACCGAAAAUGUCCGACGUUAGACCAGCUAUAUUGCCGCUAUAUGUUUAACGGUUGGGCUAUCAAACGGUCUCUGAAUGUGGCGAAAUUUGGCAGGCGGUCUACCUAUACUAUAAUAAGACCGCACGCCAACUUUCACCUCAUUUCGAGAACAUUUUUAUGCCACUUCGAAAAUAAUAUUUCGGAGUGCCGCGGGCGCGUGCGAGUGUGUCUGAGCUCAGAACAGACAACAGAGAGAACUGAGAGAUCGGGCAACUACGAACGAAUGCAAGUUUUGAAAAACAUGCAGAUGGAAUGCACAUGUUGACAUGGCAAAGUACAACACGCAAGCGAAUGACAUCGCAACGACAGUGAAUAAACGGAAGACAUCUGGCGCAUCAGUCUCGGGGUGUCACAACACUCCCCCACUAACAAGAGAUCUCGUCCCGAGAUCUUUGGAACGAGAUGGAAGAGGAGGAUGAACGGAACAAAAUGAAAAGCAUUUGAUGGAAAACCCGAAGAAGAGAAUCGACUGAAGAGGACUCAUCCUACCUCGGACUUGGAAAAGGAUUUGGGAAUACUCUAGAAAAUUAGAAGAGUCGGGUAAGAUCCUGGGAAAAGACCUGUGGGUUAGGUCCCACUGAAGAGAAAACACCAUUGAAAAAGGACUGUUGAGUGAGAAAUGAUGCACCGGAACGAUUGAAAGACUAGAAUGAGGCGACAACCUUGAAUUAAUUGGAAGACAGACGAAUCUCCUGAGAAGUCGUCGUCACUCCGGAAUGAUUGAAUAGCGAGAGGUGGACAAGCAAGGGGAACAUUUGAGCAAAGGAAAGAAUAUGAUCAACACCGAAUACUUGAAUUGGAUCCACCAUAGAAGAAAAAGACAUGAAGAAUGUCGAACUAGACAAGAAGAUCCACCACAGAAGAAAAAGACAUGAAGAAUGUCGAACUAGACAAGAAUUCACCAUUUGAAAUAAUUGAGGAAAGGAUGCUAAGGAUUCACACGAAUAGGAUGGAUACUCGAUUAAGGACUCCGACUCCGAGACGAAAAAGGGUGGGCGGGUGGGAAUAAGAAAGGCAACUUCGGAAGAGGAAGCAACAUAGUUGAGAAAGAACCAAGGAUUGAUCUUGCCAAAGACAAAUAGGAUUGAAUCCUCUUGACGAGAAAUGCACCAGAUGAAAGGAGCUGACACCGCAACGAUCGGAGAACUACUGCGUGAUCCUAAAGAAAAUUUGAAGGGGAAGAGGAGUAAUUGAGAACAGCUACGUCAAGAUUCCUCACCAGAGCGGCGAAGGGGAUGAGGAGUAAAAGAAUUCCUACUCUCCGAUAUAACUAGACUCCGAAAAUAGUUUUCUUCUAGACUCGACAACGGCCAAACUACGAUCAAUCAAGGGGGCUCCUAUGGUCGGUUGAGGCUCUGAUACCAACUUGUCAUGCCCAAUAUGCAAUCUUAUCCGAUAGGAACUCGAAGGUCUCACCAAGGAUAGAGUCGCAUAUUGAAGACGCUUUUGCAAGGUGGAUAUCAUUACAUUGUACCAUUACAUAAUAGAUGGGGAUACAUAUAGAAGGCAUACAAUUGCCACAUGAAUACAUCUAACAUCAUACACAAGAGCGACAUCCGACUACGGAUGAAAUCAAACGAAAAAGACAAACGACAUCCACCUUGCUAGCCCAGGCUGCCGACCAGGAACCUAUCCCAUGAUCGAAGAAGAAGCAGAAUAACUCAAAAACAAGCAAACAUCGCUCUCACGUCAGAUCAUCGCAUUACCUGUACCUGCAACUGUUGUUGCAAUAAUUAGUGAGCCACGAGGACUCAGCUAUCCCAUUACCAUGGGUAUCAAGACUAGCAAAGCUUAAUGGGUACGGAUUGGAUAAGUGGUGAGGUUGCAGCAGCACUAAGCAUUGUAUGGUGGCUAACUUACGAGUACAAGAACAAGAUGAGAAACUACACAAUGGUCGCGAACUAGUAAUGAUCAAGAAGUGGUCCUGAACUACUUACAUUCAAACAUAACCCCACUGUGUUCUCUUCUCGACUCACCCAAAAAGAGACGGUCACGGUUACGCACGCAGUUGGUGUAUUUUAAUUCGGAUCUGGUGUUAAGUUCUCUACAACCGGAUAUUAAAAAUUCCCAUCUGCCACAUAACUGCGGGCACGGCUCUUGAAAGUUUAAAACCUGCAGGGGUGUCCCAACUUAGCCCACGACAAGCUCUCACGAUCAACGGAGGAAAAUCUUCCUCCCGGAACAACCCAAUCAAACUCGGAAUCUGGGUUCCCAAGAUAUUUUGACAAUGGUAAAACAAGUCCAGCAAGACCACCCGCUGCGUCGAUACCCGAAUAAGAGCCGCACGUAUCUCAUUCUCAGGACAACACCGUCUAUCCUAAGUGGAUGAUAGCCAAAUACCUUAGUUUCCCCGAGGUGGCACCACCGACUGCUAGGUAGGUGGACCAACAGUCAUGAGGAGCACUGGCCCGGGGGGUUGAUUUAGAGACCUCAGGGGCUGGCAGGUCCCUAUGCAAGUUUUAGUUGUUAUUAGGCAAAUGGUAAAACCAAUGUUGGGCCUUGCUACAAGAGUUUUAUUCAAAACAAACUGUCAAGGGGGGCUCAUAAACACCAACCGUGUUAGGAACGCAAAAUCAAGGAACAUAACACCAGUAUGACAGAAACUAGAGUGGCAAGAAUGGAACGAAACAUCAGGCAAAAGGUCGAGCCUUCCACCCUUUACCAAGUAUAUAGAUGCAUUAAUUAAAUAAGAGAUAUUGUGAUAUCUCAUGAUAUCCAUGUCCCAACAUGGAACAACCUGCAACUAGCAACACUAUAAGAGGGGCUGGGCAAAGCAGUAACAUAGCCAAACAACGGUUUGCUAGAAGGGUGGAAAAGUUUAGAGGUUGUCAUGGCAAUUCGGGAAGCUUGAUAAACAAGUGGUAGGUAGCACGACAUAGCGAUAGCAUCGAGACAACUAGCAUAGCAAAGAUAGUAGUGAGAUCCAAGGUGACGGUCAUCUUGCCUGAAAUCCCGCUAGGAAGAAGAACGAGUCCAUGAAGAAGAUGAACGGGCAUAGACGAACCGAGCGUAAACGAACGAAUCCUCACGGUCGCAACGAAACAGAAACUAUCAAGAAGAGGCACAACCGGAAAGAAGCAAACAACACGGUAAACACACAACAUGUAACAUUGCAUGAUGCUCAUCCAAGAAUGACGCAUGACAAGGCUACAUGAUGCUACACAUGGCAAGAGAUGAUGCAUACAAGAACACCACAUCAAACCAAGUUUAAAUGAGGCCGGAAUCAACGUACAACAAUUCUGGUAAGUCCUCAUAUGCAAAUUUCAAAAUUGAUCCAGAUCUGAACAAAACAUUAUGUUAAAGUUGUUAAACAGCAAGUUGAAGUGAUCCAUGCUGAUCUACACGGUUUUCUAGUCAAGUUACAUAUAAAGUUCAUUUAAUUCGGAGCUACGGCCUAGAAGAUAUGAGCAACACAAGUUUAACAUGGUAUUGAUGCAAAAUGCAUUCAAACAUUAAGCACACAUGUUCAAAACAUGGAUGCAACAAGAUAAUAUGAAACUACAUGCAAUUCUAAGCAAGUUUCAUAUAGGACAUCAUCAAAAUGGAACAACGGUUCAACACAUACACUCAAAGCAAGUUUAAAGGACAAUCUAUCCAAAAAAGCAAGUAGGCAUAUGGCAAGCAUCAAAACAACAUGCUACACGAAAUAUAUGAGCACAAACUUGAUAUACACUCAAAGGACAGAUAACUUGCUCCAAAUAUCUUUAAGGUUCAGGUUCAUAGUCAUCAAGAUUAACCCAAUAUGAUCAAUGCAAAAUGCAAUUUUAUAAAACAGAUUAGGACAGUGAAAAACUAGGCAUAUGCAUGAACAGGGUUAAUAUGGUGGCAUGUUGGAGGCAUUAAACAAGUAUGCUAUAGUGCAUGAACAUGUCAUCAAAAGGUAUUUCAUGCUAGUACAUAUCAUGUAGCUCAACUAAUGUAACAUGGCAUAAGCAUAAGAGCAACAGGUCCAUGGCAUUCAUCAAGACAAGAUGCAAACAUGAAAUAAGCUGAUUCUCAGAUUACAGCUGGCAGGGAGACUGCAACGGGUCUCGGGCAUGAGGUGGCCCACGUGGCCGGCGGCACGGGGCCCGGCGCGGGGUGGAGGCCCACAGGGGCGAGCGAGAGGUUGCGGGCGCCGUCGUCCUCCUCGAUCGGGAUCGAGGUCGGCGGCACCGAUGGUCAACGGCACUGCGGCGGGCUCCGGCGAUGCGAGGAAUGGCAGGGAGGCCGAGAACGGGAUGGAUCUGGGAGGAUGUGGUGCGGUGGGUCCAUUCCGGGCGACGGACGGUGGCGGUGACGAGCUUCGGCAGCACGGCUCAUAUGUCCUGCGAAGGAGGGAGAGAGUAGGCAGUGAGGGACAGAGGAGAGAAAAGGGAGGAGGAUGGAUGAGAGGGAGCGGGGUCCGGCCUGGGGGCGUUGCCGGCAACGGGGCUCCGGCGGGAGGAGGCCGGCGAACUCCAUCGGGGCACAAGGAUGACGGCAGGCGGCGGGGUUUGAGAGCUCGGGCGGAGGCGGAGGUCGUGCGAGCGCUGCACAGGGCGCCUGCGGGCGCGCUGCGGCGGCGGCCGGGCCUAGCAUACCGAAUCUGGGCCUGCAGGGCCUGGCACGAUGGAGGCUGGCGGCUGGCAGCGGCAGCGCCACUUGGCGGCAGCGCGGGAGGGGACAAGUGGCGGUGCGGAAAACAAGGCAGGGGCUAGGGUUUCCAAAAAUUGGGGCUAGGAGGUCUAUAUAUAGGCAUGAAGGGCUAGGGUUGGUGGUUUGGUGGUGUUUUCGAGCCGUUCGAUCUGGAUCGCACGGCUCCGGCGAGAGGGGGAAGGUAAGUUGGGCUUGGUGGGCUGUGUAGAAGGGGUUGGGCUGAGAGGAGAGAAGUGCAGCCCGUGAGGUUUUCGGUGAUCGAAAACGUCCGACGUUAGACUGGCUAUAUUGCCGCUAUAUGUUUCACGGUUGGGCUAUCAAACGGACUCCGAAUGCGGCGAAAUUUGACAGGCGGUCUACCUAUACUAUAAUAAGACCGCACGCCAACUUUCACCUCAUUCUGAGAACAUUUUUAUGCCAUUUAUAAAAUAAUUUUUUGGAGUGUCGCGAGCGCGUGCGAGUGUGUCUGGGCUCAGAACGAACAACGGAGAGAACUGAGAGAUUAGGGAACUACGAACGAAUGCAAGUUUUAGAAAACAUGUGGAUGGAAUGCACAUGAUGACAUGGCAACAACGGCGAAUAAACGGAAGACAUCUGGCGCAUCGGUCUCGGGGUGUCACGCCGACCCUCCAUUAAGUGCACAACUACUACACGCGUCAAAUUAUCACAUGGGUUGCCUCUUCAUACAGAAAUGAGCUCCAUCAAGUAGCCAUGUGUGUGGUUGGAAUGAGUACGUGCAUCGGUACGUGCACCCCUUCUCUUCGUGCAUGUACCCCACCUACGUGGGUGUUUGUGAGAAUGAUACAUUGACCUAGAGAGAGAUGGUGUGUGCACGAGAAAUCCCUAGAGAUUCGUUAGUGUUUUUUGGUGAUUUCAUGAGCGUAAUUAAGUGUGUGAGAGACAGAUAGGGAAUAUAUUUCAAUGAUGUCUUAGAAAAAAAUAUAGCAUACGCAAUGUGUGUGAAAUAGAGGCGUUGACUGUUGACUGGGCAGUCAACUGGGCCGCCCCUGUCAGCCCCUGUAGCACACUGCUAUGUACACUCUGUGUGUGCACCUAGUAAUUUCUUUUUUAAGUUAGAAUUAAUAAUAUUCCAGAAAAUCAUUUAAACUUUGGAAAUUCAUAGGAAAUAAAUGUAAGUCAGGUGAAAAUAAUUUAUAUAUGAAAAAUGAUCAGAAAAAUAUAACAAAUCUGAAUAUGUCAUCCACAUACCUGUCAGACCCCUUUAACAUAAUGAACCUUGAACAUUUCCAUUAGGAUCAUCUGACCGAAUUAUACCUGGAACUGGGAAAACAUUGUCAGAUGUAUUCCCUCUUCUUUUAAAAUGUUUAGGGAUGCAUUAGCAUAUCAUUAACACACUUUGCCAUGACAUGACAUGCAUCUAUGUUGCAUUUGUAUGCCCGUUAUUUAUUUGUUUUCCCCAUCUCCUCUAUUCUUUCGGUAGACCCCGAGACUGCCGCUGACUCCGAGUACGAGUACGUCGAUGACGACCCUUCCUUCUUGGCAGAGUGAUGUAGGGUGGAACCCUAUGUGGACGAUCUUUCACGUUUGGAGUGGAUCCUACGGGGAAUCACGAAGAACACACGGAAGCACAAAGGGGAAACAUGGGGAAAACGAGAGAGAGAAUCACUAAACCGACAUAGAAUCAAUCACACGAGUGCUAGAUCACCGACAACAUAGAGUAACAUAUGAUCCACAAUCAACAAAGGUAAGGAUACAAAGGAACAGUUCUUCUCCGUACGAAGGUCUUGAUGGUGAUGUAGGGUGGAACCCUAUAGAGAAGAUCUUUCACGAAUUGGAGGUGGAAUCCCCUAGAACAAGAUGAACAAAGGAGGGAAAACAAGAGGAGCACUCAAGAACAAGUCAAAUCACACAUCCACUAGACAAUCAAACACAUAAGAUCCACAAGUUACAUGAACAACAAAGGGAAAUAAGAUACAUGGUAGAGUUCAUCCCAAAUCCUAUGAAGGAGAUGAGGGCUUGAUGAUCUAGAUAGAUCCUUCCCACAAGGGGGUCUUGAGCUAGGUCACUCCAAGAGGAGGUCUUGAUCUCCUAGUGGAGUGGAUCCAUGGAGCAAAGCUCUCAUAUGUCUAACAUAUCCUUUGCUUCGUCUAAAUGGAGGAGAUGAAGGAGUAUAUAUAGUCCUAGGCAAAGAGGGGAAUAGGUGGGGGCGAAAUGGUAACACAAGAGCAAAGGCCGCAUCAUCACCCAGGGGGCCCCGUGUGCACAGGGUAAGUGGAGCCCGUGCGCACGGGGUAUCCAGGGACCGGACGCAAGGGCCCGUGCGCACGGGGUCCGUGAGGCCCGUGGACACGGGGGUCCCGUGGGCACGGUACACGCCCGUGCGCACGGGGUCUUCAAGACCGCCAGCCUGGGAGGCCCGUGGGCACGGGGUCGUAGGGGCCCAUGCGCAUGGGGUCGCCUGGGAGCUGCUGCCUUCCUCUUGGCGCUUCCUUCUCCGCUUCCAGGCUUCCGUCUUGGAUGGUGUAGUUGUUCUCUUGCGCUUGGACUCCUCCAUGAUGAAUGUGUAGCUCCACUCACACCUAAGUAUGCACAUGAGAGAGGGGUCAAGUAGUAUACCAUCCUCGAAGGGUACAAGUGGACACGUGUAAAGGAGAUGAUUCACCUUUGUAUGCAUGAAGUAGAUGUGGCACGUGUCACUUGUAAAAUGGACUCUUGACAUGGUGAUGUCCAUAGGAUGCUCCAGAUCAUCCCCUCCCCCUUGGGAAAGAUCCGACCUCGGAUCGAAAUCCAAAUCACCAUGGGAAAGACACAAUCCAAAGAAAUUGUGCGCGUGGUAAAUGUACACAUCAUCCAUCAUGAUGUGUAUGUGCACAUGUGAGUUAGCACAAGAUAAGCAUCUCUCAAAGAAAUUUGAUGCAUGGUAUAAGAACAUGUCAUCCAUCAUGAAAGAAUAGUUAUUAUGUAUGACACGAUGGGGACACAAAUUGAGAAUGCGAGUAUAUGGCACAUCAAAAGCAUGUUUAUUCAUGGGGAGCAUAUGGUGCACACAAGUAUGGGGAUCAUGCAAUGAAUGGGAUGGAUCAAAAUCUCCUAAAAUGUACGAGGAAACUAUGGGGGCCUCCUCAUUGGCAAUAGUGGAAAUAUCAUAUGGAGAAAUGGACAACAUCCAAAACAAUGCAUAUCCGAAGCUAGGUGGUCAUGGCAUGGCAUAUGAGAUAAAUGAUGCAAAGGGAGCAUAUCAAUAUCAUCACAAGAGAAACAAAUGCCAAUAACCAUGGGCUUGUCAUCUAUGCCAUAUGUGCAAAUUGGGUUUAUUUUAAUGGCAUAUGCAUAGUCACUACGAUGAGAUUGCAAAUAUGACAUACGGGAGAUCUCAUGCAUAGCAUAUGACAAGUCAAGUGGAUUAUCAAACAUGAUGUGACCAAUAGAAUUUUCACAUGAUAUCCUAUGAAGCAUAGCAUCACAACUAGGCAACUCAACAUGCUCAUCAUCAUAUUCAUCGUAAAUAGGUAAGUCAAGGCAUGAAGAAGUUUCACUAGCAUGAAGCAUGGUAAUAGGUGGGUCAACAUCAUGCAAGCAAUCAAUCUCAAGAAUGUCCACUAGUGGGACUAGAGCAUCACCGUCACCUUUGUUACCUUUGUCAUUCCACUCAAGUGGUGUAGGUGAGGUGGGAAAGACCAAAUGGUGGUCAUCUUCGUCUUGAUGGAACCAUGUGGGGGGUGCAUCAUAUUCCACCAUGGCCAUCGUCUUGUCCAAAGGGAGGAUGUAGUCGUCGCGAAUCGGCGCGUCAUCAUGUAUGGGACCUAGCACCAAAGGAGAAAACACAAAUAGAGGUAGAGGUUAAGUUGUUAGAAAGUGAAAUGGCCUCAUAUGCCUCAUCAACUACCUCACUCUCUCUAUGUGGUGGUGGCUCACUCACUCCCUCAAUGUAGGUGCACUCAAUGUCGCAUAUGGUGGAGUCACUCAAAUCACUCAAGUGGUGGUGGUGGUGGCUCUCCUCACAUGAGAAUUGGGGCAGCUCAUCAUGUAUGGGGCUAGUGGUGAAGUCACUCUCACUCUCAAUAUGGUGGCAAAAGUCACUCAAGUCAUUGGACGUCGCCGUGGUCGAAGGAAAAAUCCCAUGCUCAACCGUCUCAUAGUCGUCGCCGUGGAUGAAGGCCGAAGAUGGCACAUCAUCACUCUCGCCUCCUAAGAUGGAAGCAUCAUCCUUGCUCGCCACCUUGUCGCUCGCCUCCAAAGCUUGGUCCUUGAAGGUCUCCGUAGUCGUACUCGUCGCCGCACCAUCUUGAAAAAGAGUCGUGGAGGACUCGGCAUCAUCAAUGCCACAAAGAGGGAUGGCGGUGAAGUCGAACUUGGAAGCAUCGUCUUGGAGCUCGUCGGGCUUGGACAUCUUGGUGGUGCUAGCCUCAUGCUCAUCGUCUUUGAGCUUGGUCGCCGCGAAGUUUGCUUGGGGUGGAGAAGCCUUGGCCUUCAUGAGUUCUUGUUCCGCCUUGAGAGCACCAAUGUAGUAGUCGUCGAUGGACUUGUAGUUCUCGAGGAAGAUGGUCUUGGAGAUGUCGUUGUGCAAUCCCAUCAUGAAGUGGAACUUCAUCAAAAUGGGGUCGUCCACGCCGGCUCGUCGCAAGGCAUGCUUCAUCUCCUUGAAGUACUCGUCGAUGGACUUGGAUCCUUGUAUUGUGUUCUCCAAUUGGCGUUGAAGAUGUUCCAUGUAGGUUGGAGGCAUGAACUCUCGCCGCAAAGCUCUCUUCGUCUUGGGCCAACUCAUGUCGUAGUACUCCGAAGGUGUGUGAAGCCACCAUGCCGAUGCGUAGUCGUGGAAGUUUCUUGUGGCGCACUUCACUUGAUCUUCGGGAGGAACUUGAUGUAGCUUGAGGUAGUCGUCCAUCAAACGCUCCCACUCGAGGUACUCCUCGGGUUCGUGAGUCCCAUAGAAAGGAAUCGCGUGGUCGAUGUCGAGGUCGUAGUAGCUCGUGGAAGUCGCGGACUUGAGCUUGGGGAGCUUCUCUUGAGCGUAGCCUUGAGGUUCUUUUUGGCGAAGAUGCCCUUUGUCCAUAGGCGAAGAUGCCUUGAAGUCACUUGGCAAAGAUGCCAAGGGAGAUGGUGAAGUCCUUGAGCAGUUGGUGGUGUAGAGCUCUUGACCUUCACGUUCGUGUUUUUGCUGGUGUCGAUGCCGAUGUGAUCUUGCCGGAGAUGGUAGCUCUGAAGCAUGUGCUCUUGAGCGUCUUCUCGAAGAUGAGGAAGACCGCAUGCGGUUCUUGAUGAGGGCCUUGAUCUCCUCCAUGCGCUUGUCCAUCUUGGCGUCGGAGUUGUUGUUCGUGGCAUCGAACUCGUUGUUGUUGUUGUAGACCGAAGGUGAAAUGCCUUGCCUAUCCAUCACAAGACUCGAGUAGAGGUGAGUAGGAAAUGAGAUAAACAAUACCAAGUUACCUUUUCCCAAAGUUGAGGAUGUAUCUUGUAUCACUCAAUGUGAAAUGAAAGAAUAGUGGAAUUGGUACCGGACUUGUUCACUCACACCUAUAAGUAAAGGCUUAUGGUAGAGCUCGGUGAGGAUAGUGGCAUAAAUAUUUGAUGCAAAAUGUUAGCAAGAGUCAAUAAUGUUGGAAAAGAUUCACAAAUUCGCAAGUGAAACAAGUACACCAAUAGCAAAUGAGGUACAUGGAAACACACACACGGAUAGAUAAAUGGGGUCGCGCAACCAAGGAAUGAGCACAAAAUGUGGAGUCCACGGAAAACGCUCGUGUUGCACAACUCAAGAGAGACGCUAGCACGAUUGCUCAAUAGGCGGAUACAACACUUGUGCACAACCUAUAAGAUGUAAAAUGGAUAAACUUUCUAUCCCAAGUAUGCUAUGUAUGUAUGGUUUCCGGUGUUUCUCUCAAGAUGAUCCAAGAUGAUUGGAUAUGACAAUCUUAUGUGCAAUGGGGUAUGAUGCUAUGGCACUUGCUCACGAGCUCUUUCCUCUCUUUUUGCUUAAAAGCUUUUUCUCUCUUUUUAUGGCCAAUUUGCACAAUGCACAAACCAAGAUAGCAAUUGGAUAUAUAUGCGGGAACAAACUUGUGACACAAUGGAUGAUAUGAUACCAAUAUGAUAUGGUAUGUAUGCAAUGGAAUGGUGGAUCACUAAUGUGCACAAGUAACGUUGCCGGCAAUACUCAAAUGGCUAGUCUCGAUAGGCAAGUAACGCAAAAUGGGCUAGGGGUUAACAAUGCAAUUGCAAGGGUAAUAUACAAUGGUGUCGUCGAGGUUACCGUCCUUUGCGAUGAUGAGUAGCGGUGUUCUUGAUGUAGAUACCAAGAUGAUGUAGACCCGUCCCUAAGUAGCCGAAACACCUUAGGAAACGGUAAAAAACCGCAAACUCAAAAUCUCAAAUGACAAAUGUCAAAUGGUGGUAGCGAAGAUGGCAAUGUGGAAAUGGUGGUGGUGGUGGUUGAUGAAGAAGCAAUCGUCCCUAAGUAGCCGAAACACCUUAGGAGACUCACUUCGCCACUCAAACAACCACAAAUGCUAAAUGGAGCAAAAUGGGUUAGGUUGCGGAAGUCGGUGGUGAUGGAGCGGAUGAUAUGGUGGAGGGCCUAGGCAAAAAUGCCAAAAUGUCAAAAUUUUGAUGGAGUCAAAUGGUGAUGGAGCCUAUCUAGGUGGAUGGUGGAUGUCAAUAGCUACUCAACGAGCUAAAAAACGCGAAAAUCGGACUCCGGAUGUGGAAGUUAUGGGCGAAAUGGUGAACUACACGCGGCUGCUGUAGGGGGGCCGUGUGCACGGGGUCUAGGGCCCGUGGGCACGGGGUCCCGUGCACACGGUACACGUACCGACGGCACGGGGUCACCUGGGACUCGCGGGUGUGGCGGAUUUCUUGGCUAUUUGGGCUCCAAAUGGAUGGAUCUCGUGGCUGGGGUUGAGGUGGGGGUAGGGGGUGGUAUGGAGGAUGAAGGGAGGUCGAAGGAACACACUGGAAGGGCCGUGCGCACGGGGUCUGACAGGCCCGUGUGCACGGGGGCCUGUGUGCACGGGGUCCCGAUGGCCCGUGUGCACGGGGUCCUCUGAGAGCAGACGAACUGCUCCGGAUCCGUGGGGAAUUUCGAAACUCAGGGCGAAAUCGAAGGGUAGAAGGUAAGGGAAGAUGGUAGAGGGGUGGAUCUACUUGCAAAACACUGAAUCCAUGGACCAAAUCCAACAAAAUCUCAUCAAACCAACAAAUCACAAAAAAAAUUGGGGCUAUUUUUGGUGGGGAUUUUCGGAUUUAGGAUAAGAACAACAAAAUCAAGCUAGAAAACAAAGAGGGGGGCUCCAAUUUCGUGAGAAACCAUGGCUCAUGAUACCAUAUGAUGUAGGGUGGAACCCUAUAGAGAAGAUCUUUCACGAAUUGGAGGUGGAAUCCCCAAGAACAAGAUGAACAAAGGAGGGAAAACAAGAGGAGCACUCAAGAACAAGUCAAAUCACACAUCCACUGGACAAUCAAACACAUAAGAUCCACAAGGUACAUGAACAACAAAGGGAAAUAAGAUACAUGGUAGAGUUCAUCCCAAAUCCUAUGAAGGAGAUGAGGGCUUGAUGAUCUAGAUAGAUCCUUCCCACAAGGGGGUCUUGAUCUAGGUCACUCCAAGAGGAGGUCUUGAUCUCCUAGUGGAGUGGAUUCAUGGAGCAAAGCUCUCAUAUGUCUAACAUAUCCUUUGCUUCGUCUAAAUGGAGGAGAUGAAGGAGUAUAUAUAGUCCUAGGCAAAGAGGGGAAUAGGUGGGGGCGAAAUGGUAACACAAGAGCAAAGGCCGCAGCAUCACCCAGGGGGCCCCGUGUGCACGGGGUAAGUGGAGCCCAUGCGCAUGGGGUAUCCAGGGACCGGACGCAAGGGCCCGUGCGCAUGGGGUCCGUGAGGCCCGUGGACAUGGGGGUCCCAUGGGCACGGUACACACCCGUGCGCACGGGGUCUUCAGGACCGCCAGCCUGGGAGGCCCGUGGGCACGGGGUCGUAGGGGCCCGUGCGCACGGGGUCGCCUGGGAGCUACUGCCUUCCUCUUGGCGCUUCCUUCUCCACUUCCAGGCUUCCGUCUUGGAUGGUGUAGUUGUUCUCUUGCGCUUGGACUCCUCCAUGAUGAAUGUGUAGCUCCACUCACACCUAAGUAUGCACACGAGAGAGGGGUCAAGUAGUAUACCAUCCUCGAAGGGUACAAGUGGACACAUGUAAAGGAGAUGAUUCACCUUUGUAUGCAUGAAGUAGAUGUGGCACGUGUCACUUGUCAAAUGGACUCUUGACAUGGUGAUGUCUAUAGGAUGCUCCGCAUCAGAUGGUCUUCCCUAGAAAGGGGUCUUGAAUCCUCUUGGGGAAUCUUCUCCGAAGAGGUCCUGAGCUCCGAGGAGAAGUAACCAAGUGGAUGAGCAAGGCUCUCACACAAAAUAUGAGCUAAACCAAUGCUAACCCUCACUAGGAGGUGGGGCAUCCUAUUUAUAGUCUUAGUGCAAAUGGAAGUCAAAGUGAAGGGAUACAAGGCUCCAGCCCGCAGGUGCGGUCACUCAGGUGCCGAACGUCCGGAAGACGUCGGACGUCCGAAGGCUCGGGACGGUCCGGACAUCCGGCAGGGCUCGGACGUCCGUAGAUUCGGCUCUGUCUUGGUUGUGUUGGACGUCCGGGGAGGGUCGGUCGUCUGGAGCUUCUGGAUGGACCGGACGUCCGUAGGCUGUCGGUCGUCCAUAGUUUUGGCUCGGGUGCUUGUCGCCUGGUCGUCCGGGGCGUCUCGGACUUCCGUAGAUUUGGUUCGGGUGGCCAGGUAUCGGACGUCCGGAGGGCUCGGUCGUCCGUGUCCUAGGACUCGUCGGACGUCCGGACUUGGUCGGUCGUCCGACGCCUAUAGCUUCCUCGGCAUCUCUUCUUCUUGUCCAUCAAGUUUGGGGUUCUCACCGUCUUGGCUCUUGUAUGUGGCUGUUUCGUGGCUCGCCUCCAAGCACCUGGUCACACACAGAGUUUCUGAAUGAGGUAGUAGCCAUGUCUUGUGAGUAGGAAGAGGAAGUUCAGAGAGGAGCGAGUUCACCUUAUCUUCAAUAGCCUUGGCUCGGGCUCGUGUCAUGGGUCCAAAUGGUCUUGAGGGAGAUGUAGGCACGUCCAUGGGGAUGAGCGAGGGAUGCUCCGCAUCAUCUUCCCCCCUGUGAAAGAUCCGACCUCGGAUCGAAAUCCUCAUCACCAUGGUACGGGGAGAGAUCGGAGACGUUGAAGAUGUCGCUCACGUUGUACUUGUCCCGUGGGAGAUCGAGCUUGUAAGCAUUGUUGUUGUAGCGUGCUAGCACCUUGAAAGGUCCGUCGGCUCGAGGGAGAAGCUUGGACUUGCGUUCGUUGGCGAAGCGGUCCUUGCGAAGGUGUAGCCACACUAGGUCUCCAAUGUUGAAUAUCAUGGGGUGCUUGUAGACGUUGAGCUUGGUCGCGAGGCGUUGUACUUGGCGCUCGAUGGUGUGCCUUGUAUAUUCAUGCAUCUUCUUGAUGUAGCUUGCACGGGCACUUGCGUCGAGGUUGGUGCGCUCUUGUAGAGGGAGAGGGAGAAUGUCCAAUGGGGACAACGGGUUGAAGCCGUAGACGACCUCAAAGGGGGACUUGCCGGUUGUCGAAUGUCUUGCACGGUUGUAGGCGUACUCGGCGAUUGGUAGGCAUGCCUCCCACUCCUUGAUGUUCCUCUUGAUCAAAACUCGAAGUAGAGUGGAGAGUGUACGGUUCGUCACCUCCGUUUGGCCGUCGGUUUGAGGAUGGUAUGCCGAAGAGAACAAUAGCUUGAUGCCGAGCUUAGCGCAUAGGGUCUUCCAAAAGUAACUCAAGAACUUGACGUCGCGGUCCGAGACAAUUGUCUUUGGCACUCCAUGAAGUCGCAAGAUUUCCCUACAAAAUAGAUUAGCAAUAUGUGAAGCAUCGUCUAUCUUGUUGCAAGGAAUGAAAUGUGCCAUCUUAGAAAAUCUGUCCACAACAACAAAGACGGAAUCCUUGCCAUUUUGAGUUCUAGGCAAACCAAGUAUAAAAUCCAUGCUAAUGUCUUCCCAAGGUUGAUAAGGAAUAGGAAGUGGCAUGUAAAGACCAUGGGAUUGAGCUUUUGACUUAGCUUUGCGACAUGUAGAGCACCGGUUGGUGAAGCGUGAGACGUCACAGAACAUCUUGGGCCAAAAUUAGUUCUUGGAGAGCAUGGCGAAUGUCUUGUCGCGUCCAAAGUGUCCCAUGAGUCCGCCUCCAUGAGCCUCUUGCAAAAGGAGUAAACGAAGAGAAGACUCGGGAAUGCAAAGUUUGUUAGCUCUCAUAAGAUAAUCAUCCUUUAUGUAGUAUCGUUCCCAAGGCGUGUGCGUCAAACACUUAGCAUAAGGAGUAGUAAAAGAAGGAUCAUGCUCAUACAAGUCUUUUAUAUGCUCAAAACCAAUAACAUUCAACUCAAGUUGAGUGACAAGUGUGCAUAUGCGUGAAAGUGCAUCCGCAACAACAUUUUCUUUACCCUUAAUGUACUUGAAUGUGGGAAAGAUUCAAUAAAUUCACUCCAUUUGGCAUGAUGCUUGUUCAACUUAGUUUGGCCUUUUAAGUACUUAAGCGUUUCAUGAUCGGUAUGGAUGACAAAUUCAUGAGGUCUAAGGUAAUGUUCCCAAACAUGUAGCACACGCACUAAAGCAUACAAUUCUUUGUCAUAGAUGGGAUAGUUAAGUUGAGCACCGGAGAGUUUUUCACUAAAAUAAGCAAUGGCUCGUUUUUCUUGCAUCAAAACUCCGCCAAUUCCGGUACCACUUGCAUCACAAUGAACCUCAAAAGUUUUCUCAAAGUUGGGCAAAGCAAGAAUCGGAGCAUGAGUAAGCAAAGACUUGAGCUCAUCAAAAGCGGUGGAUUGCAAAGAUCCCCACACAAAAGGUGCAUUCUUCUUACUCAAGGCAUGCAAAGGAGCGGCAAUUGUGCUAAAGUUUUUCACAAAGCGGCGAUAAAAUCCUGCAAGGCCAAGAAAACUACGCACUUGUUGCAAAUUGGUGGGUUGGGGCCAAGUUUUAAUUGCUUUAAUCUUAGUUUCAUCAACAUGGACACCCUUGGAAGAGACAACAAAACCCAAGAAAACCACUUUGUCAACGCCAAAAGUGCAUUUUUUCAAGUUCGCAUAAAGGCUUUCCUUGCGGAGGGUUGCAACACAGAUUUAACAUGAUUAAUGUGUUCUUUCAUGGUUUUGCUAAACACAAGGAUAUCAUCAAAGUAAACCACAACGAAGACUCCAAUGUAAGGUCUAAGCACAUAAUUCAUAAGACGCAUGAAAGUUCCGGGUGCUUCCGACAAACCCAUAGGCAUCACUAACCACUCAUAUAAGCCAAAUUUUGUUUUGAAAGUGGUUUUCCAUUCAUCACCUUCUUGAAUGUGGAUUUGAUAAUAGCCACUUUUAAGAUCUAUUUUUGAGAAAAAGUUCGCUCCACUAAGUUCAUCAAGCAUAUCAUCUAAGCGAGGAAUGGGAUGCCUAUAUCGAACGGUAAUGGCAUUUAUGGGUCUGCAAUCAGAACACAAGCGGAAACUUCCAUCGGGCUUAGGUACAAGUAUAAUGGGAACGGCGCAAGGGCUUAAGCUUUCACGUACAUGACCGUUGUCUAUGAGUUGUUGUACUUGCCGUUGAAUCUCCUUGGUUUCUUCGGGAUUGACACGGUAUGGAGCUUUGUUUGGAAGUGGCACUCUGGGGAUGAGGUCGAUUCGACGCUCAAUGCCUCAUAGUGGUGGUAGACCCGAAGGUAGCUCAUCGGGGAAAACAUCUUUGAAUUCCUGCAAAAGAGAUUGAAACACUAAAGGUAACUCGUGAGAGGUGUUAGUUGUGGGCUCUCCAUCUUUGCACACAAGGACGAAGUGCAUCACACUCGAUGGGUUCUCACACACUUCUCUUAUCUCACUUUUGGUGGCAAAUAGGAUGAGGUUUUUCUCUCUAGGCGAAGAGGCGCUCAAAUUUGGCUUGUGGCUCUCACUCACUUUUGGUUGUGUCACUUUUUCACUCUUAUCUCCAUGUUUGGUGGCUUGCUUGUCGGCUAUCACUUGACUAGGAGACAUAGGUCGUAGCACAUAUUCCUUCCCGUUCAUUUUGAAGCUAUAGUGAUUGGUGCGCCCAUUGUGGAUGACACCACGGUCGAAUUGCCAUGGUCGACCAAGAAGGAGGUGGCAAACGGUCAUUGGGACCACAUCACACUCCAAAGUGUCUUCAUAAGCACCAAUUUUGAAGGAGACUUGGACCGUAUGCUCGACUCAUAUAGUGCCGGAGUCACUUAGCCAUUGAACUUUGUAGGGGUGCGGGUGCUUCCUCUUGACCAAUUGAAGCUUGUAACAUAGUUCUUCACUUGCCAAGUUGUGGCAACUACCUCCAUCGAUGAUGACCUUGACGGACCUUCCAUUGAUGCCGGCCUUAGUGUGGAAGAUGUGGCAUCGUUGGUCUUCUUCUUGUUGAUGUUGAAGUGUCAAGACUUUGGAGACAACGAGAGCGGGGCUCGAAUCCUCAUCACAAAAUACUUGAUCAUCUUCAUCCUCGUUCACGCGCCGAUGCAUGGCCACUUGCUCAAGGGCUUCCAUCUCCUCUUCACUCAUUGAGUCAUAUGUGCUGUCAUCGUUGAGGAUCAUGGUGCGCUUAUUCGUGCAUUGGAAGGACUUGUGGCCUCGGCCGCCGCAAGUGAAACACUUGAAGGAGCUUGUUUUGACGGUCUCAUCGGUUGGAGUAGAUGAUGAAGCACGCGGCUUGAAGUUGCUUGUAGUAGGAGGAAGACGACUGGAACUUGCCAAAGUUUUCUUGUAAUUUGACUUGUUGUCGUUGCUUGGAGAAGGCUUGGUUGAUGUAGAUGUUGAAGGAGUUGUUGAAGCUUGGAUGUUGGAGAAGUCGUAGGUCUUGGAUGAGUACUUGGCGUACUUGAAGUCAUCUUGCACUUGACGUUCCGCCUUGGUUGCUUGAUGUACGAGCUCAAUGAGGUUGGAGUAGGGUUGGAAGUCGGCAAUCUUCUUGAUGGUAUGAUUGAGUCCAUUCAAGAAACGUGCCAUUGUUUGCUCAUCAUCUUCCGUGACAUUGGCUCGAAUCAUGGCUAUCUCCAUUUCCUUGUAGUAUUCUUCAACACUCUUUGUUCCUUGCUUGAGGAGUUGUAGCUUCUUGAAGAGAUCGCGGUUGUAGUAGGUUGGCACAAAACAUGCUCGCAUGACAUCCUUCAUUUGAGCCCAAGUGGUGAUUGGUGGUUCACCUCUUGCUUGACGGCGUUCAAGUACUUGUUCCCACCAUAUGAGCACAUAAUCUUGGAACUCAAGUGAUGCCAUAGCGAUCUUCUUCUCUUCCUCAUAGUUAUGCAAGCGGAAAAUUUUGUCGACCUUCAAUGCCCAUGAGAGGUACUCUUCCGGAUCAUUGCUUCCAUUGAACUUGGGCAUUGUGAACUUGAUCUUGCCAUAGCGUUGCUCUUCAUUAUGUUGUUGGCGAUGGUGAUGGUGACGUCCUUGACAUGGAGGAUAGUCAUCCUCAUGUUGCUCUUGGCGCGGAGGAAGUCCAUGUUCAACUUGCUCUUGUUGAACUUGAUGUUGAGGUGGAGCUUGAUGAGCUUGUGGAGGACCUUGUGGAGCUUGACGUUGCACACGCGGUUGGUAGUUCCUCUCUUGGAUUUCUUCUCGAAGGGCUUCCUCUUGAUUGCGCCGCUCGCGAUUGCGGUUGGCAAUGGCUUGGCUCGAAUCUCGAAGGGCACGUUGCGCCUCAAGAGCUUGCGCUUCACGUUGUUGUUGUUGAAGACGUUGAGCCUCGGCGUCUUGUUCCUCUUGGUGUAGACGUGCUCGUUCUUCUUCUUGGCGCCUUAGUCGUUGCCUUUCUUGAGCUUGAGCAAAAAUGACUUGGUUUGAUUGAGGACGAGGGAUUUGCUCAUCGACUUGCUCUUGUGAAUGCUUGUCAUGUAGCAGGUUCCGAGAUGCUUGCCGGUCUUGACGCGCAGCUUGACGAAGAGUGUUCGAUGACGGUGUACUUGAGUCAUAGAAGGUGUCGUUGGAGUGUCAACUUGAGCGGCUCCGUCUUGAGGAUGAAGAAGUGGAAGGACGCCGGUUCCUCAUGAAGGCGCGGAUCUCAUCCAUUCUUGCAACAUUCUCUUGCUUUUGAGCAUCGAAUUUGUUGUCGAAGUAGUCCCUCAUUGCUUGUUGCUCUUGGUGCAAUGCCUUUUGAGCUCCAAAUAGGUGAUUCUUGGUGAUGAAUGAUGACAUGUCGUCGUCUUCUCGAUGAGAGGUGGAGUGGUAGAAGAACUUGGCCUAUCCAUCAUACCAAGCAAAAUGUAAGUGGUAGAAGGAAAAGAACGUGUACCAAAUGUACCUUGACCGAAGUUGAAGAUGAAUCAAGUUCACUCAAAUGCGGACAAUGAAAUAGCACUGUUGGUACCAAUUCUUGUUGGUUCUCACACCUACACACGUAAGAGCUUAUGGUGGAGCCUGGUUAGGAUGGUGGCACAAAAUUUGAUGCAAUAGUAAGUGAGCUUCAAUAAUGUUGGAAAAGAUUCACAAAUUUGCAAAUGCAACAAGUAGACCAAGCAAGUAUGGGUACACGGAAACACACACGCAAAUAGAUAAAUGGGAUUGUGCAAUCCAAAAUUGAGCCAAAAUGUGGAAACCACGAAAAUGCUCUUGUUGCACAAUACUAGAGAGACGCUAGCACGAUUGCAAAAUAGGCGGAUACACAAACUUGUGCACUACCUACUAGGAAAAAAUGCAACGAUCUCUAUCCCAAGUAUGCUAUAUGUAUGAUAUUUCGGUGCUAUGAUCCAAGAUGAUCGGAUAUGACAACCUUAAUGUUGUAUGAUGUUAUGGUUCUUGCUUAUAAGCUCUUUGCUUAUCUUUCCUCUUUGCUUAAAAGCUUGGGUGGCUCUUUCACUUUUGAGCUCUUUUCUCAUGCAAAACUCACGAACCAAGGUAGCAAUUGUGUAUGCGAUGACAACUUUGUGACACACAAGUUGAUCUCAAGAUAUGCACCACUAUGGUAUGAUAUUUAUGCUAUGUUGUAUGAUCACUAAUGUGCACAAGUCGUGUUGCCUGCAAUACUCAACCGCUAGUCUCGACGGGUAAGCUACGCAAAAUGAGGCAAUGUGGGUUAUCAAUGCAAUUGCAAGUUAUGACAAAGAUGUCGUCAAAGUUACCGUCAUUGGCGAUGAUGAGACCCUCGAGAAGUUGAGCCGUGGUGUUGAUGAAGUCGAACCGUACCUAGAUAGCCGAAACACAAAAGGAUACGGGAGCCAAAACUCAAAGUCUCAAGGACCAAAAUGUGUCAAAAUCGUCAUAGGGGGUAUCGUGGAAGAUGUGGUGGAAUGUGGGGGUUGUGGUGAUGGCCGAACUGUCAAACUUCAGAGUCGUCAGGGUUUCACGGACGUCCGGUCUUUUACGGUCGUCCGGUCAUCGUUGGACGUCCGACCUUUUCCGGUCGUCCAGAGCCUGGGCGAAAAUCGGGCUCGGGAAGAUGAACUGCGAGAAUUCCGGGGAAGAAGAAGAUGGUGAUGUUGAAAUCGAGCAGAUUGGCUGAUGGAAAAGGGUGGGGAGAGUGGGAGAAGCUAGAUCCACACGUAGCAACACAAAUCCAUGGACCAAAUCCAACAGAAUCUCAACUCACCAACAAAUCACAAAAAAAUUGGGGCUAUUUUUGGUGGGGAAUUUUCAGAUUUAGGACAAAAACAUCAAAAUCAAGCUAGAAAACACGGGGUAGGGGCUCCAAAACGUGAUCAACGUGGCUCGUGAUACCAAGAUGAUGUAGGGUGGAACCCUAUGUGGACGAUCUUUCAUGUUUGGAGUGGAUCCUAUGGGGAAUCAUGAAGAACACACGGAAGCACAAAGGGGAAACAUGGGGAAAACGAGAGAGAGAAUCACUAAACCGACAUAGAAUCAAUCACACGAGUGCUAGAUCACCGACAACAUAGAGUAACAUAUGAUCCACAAUCAACAAAGGUAAGGAUACAAAGGAACAGUUCUUCUCCGUACGGAGGUCUUGAUGGUCUUCCCUAGAAAGGGGUCUUGAAUCCGCUUGGGGAAUCUUCUCCGAAGAGGUCCUGAGCUCCGAGGAGAAGUAACCAACAUGAUGAGCAAGGCUCUCACACAAAAUAUGAGCUAAACCAAUGCUAACCCUCACUAGGAGGUGGGGCAUCCUAUUUAUAGUCUUAGUGCAAAUUGAAGUCAAAGUGAAGGGAUACAAGGCUCCGGCCCGCAGGUGCGGUCACUCAGGUGCCGGACGUCCGGAAGACGUCGGACGUCCGGAGGCUCGGGACGGCCCGGACAUCCGGCAGGGCUCGGACGUCCGUAGAUUCGGCUCUAUCUUGGUUGCGUCGGACGUCCGGAGAGGGUCGGUCGUCCGGAGCUUCUGGAUGGACCGGACGUCCGUAGGCUGUCGGUCGUCCGUAGUUUUGGCUCGGGUGCUUGUCGCCGGGGCGUCUCGGACUUCCGUAGAUUUGGUUCGGGUGGCCAGGUACCAGACGUCCGGAGGGCUCGGUCGUCCGUGUCCUAGGACUCGUCGGACAUCCGGACUUGGUCGGUCGUCCGACGCCUGUAGCUUCCUCGGCAUCUCUUCUUCUUGUCCAUCAAGUUUGGGGUUCUCGCCGUCUUGACUCUUGUAUGUGGCUGUUCCGUGGCUCGCGUCCAAGCACCUGAUCACACACAGAGUUUCUGAAUGAGGUAGUAGCCAUGUCUCGUGAGUAGGAAGAGGAAGUUCAGAGAGGAGCGAGUUCAUCUUAUCUUCAAUAGCCUUGGCUCGGGCUCGUGUCAUGGGUCCAAAUGGUCUUGAGGGAGAUGUAGGCACGUCCAUGGGGAUGAGCGAGGGAUGCUCCGUAUCACAGAGCUUCCAGGCAAGAAAACCCCCCUUGAUCAUUCAUAUAUCGCCUAUUCCUUCUCUCUAUUGCUUGCAUUAGAGUUGUGAUACUGUUACCGCUUUACCGGUAGAUCCUAUACUACUGCAUAGCAUGUCUUUCCUACUACUAUUGAUACCUUACCUAGUAUCCUCUAUGCUUAGUAUAGAUAUGCUAGAGUCUCAUCAGUGGACCUACUCCCUCCGUCCGGAAAUACUUGUCCAAGGAAUGGAUGUAUCUAGAUGUAUUUUAGUUCUAGAUACAACCAUUUGUAUCCAUUUCUAUGACAAGUAUUUCCGGACGGAGGGAGUACAUCCUUGUCCGUCUACCAUGCUAUACUAUCGGGUCGUGAUCCCUUCGAGCGAUGUUCAUGAAUAUGCCUUAUACUGCAUAUUAUAUAUGUUACUUCAGUGGACCCCAAACUUUGGUGGCCUACGACAUGGAGCGAGAUGGACUACAAUGAGAUGCCGAUGAAGAUGAAGACUAUUACUGCUUUAUAUUACGUCAUGUUAAUGUUCAAACUGGAGGCUGAAGGGACAAGUGGUUCCAUCCAGGUAAUGAUGAGCCUGGAUUCCCGACAGCCCCACGAGUGAUUCUUUGUGGCAGAACGACAGGGCAGGUGAUGUAGGGCGGAACCCUAGGUGCCGAUCUUUCAUGUUUGGAGUGGAUCCUACGGGGAGACACGAAGAACGAGCGGAAGAAAACAAAGGGAAUCACGGGGGGAAACAAGAGAAACGCUCAACCGACAAGGAAUCAAUCACACGAGUGCUAGAUCAUCGAAAGCAAAAGGUAACACAUGAUCCAAAAUCAACAAGGGUAGAGGAUACAAAGGGAACCGUUCUUCUCCGAGAGGAGGUCUUGAUUGUCUUCCCUUGAAGGGGUCUUGAAUCCGCUUGGGGGAUCUUCUCCGAAGAGGUCGUGAACUCCGAGGAGAAGUAACCAAGUGGAUGAGCAAGGCUCUCACACAAAAUAUGAGCUAAACCAAUGCUAACCCUAGCUAGGAGGUGGGGAGGUCUAUUUAUAGUCUAAGUGAAUGAAAGGGUAAGUGGCUUCAGCCCAACACACGGGUGGACGCACAGCCGUCGGACGUCCGACAGGUGCCGGUCGUCCGGAGGCUCGCGGGGGUCCGGACGUCCGUAGGUCUUCGGACUUCCGUUGAUUCGGCUCGGGUCUUCAGGGGCCGGACGUCCGAUGGAUUUCGGUCGUCCGGUCGUCGGUCGUCCGUUGGCUCCGGUCUUCCGCAGAUUUGGCUCGGGUCUUCAGGGGCCGGACGUCCGGGCUGGGCCGGUCGUCCGGUGGCUAUAGCUUCGGGCAGCUUCUUCUCUUGGUCCUUGUACUUGGCAUCCUCGCUGGCUCUUCCAUUGGAUGUGGUGGCUUCGUGGCUUUCCUCCAAGUACCUGAUCAUGCAUAGAACACAUGUUGGAGGUAGUAGCCAUGUCUCACAUGUAGAAAGUGAAGGUUCGGAAAGGAGCGAGUUCACCUUGUGUCCAAUGGCGUAUAGUUGAGGUCUCGUCAUAAGUCCUCUUGGGGUUUGGAGAGUAGUCGGAGUGUACAUGGGGAUGAAUGUGGGAUGAUUUGCAUCAUCUCCCCCCCCCUUGGGAAAGAUCCGACCUCGGAUCGUGAUCCUCAUCACCAUGGAAACGGUUGUCGUGGACGGACUUGUAGUUGUACAUCGAUGAAGGCAUUGCGCAAUCCAAGUAGUCCAAGGUGUCGCCAGAGUGAUAGGCAUGCAAAAAGAGCAAAUACAAGCAACACUCGGAAAUACAAUGGUUAGCGCACACAAAGUGUCCAUCAUGCAAGAAUGAGUCCGUGCGGCAAGAUUGGUCGUGACAAAGCGCAUGAAGCUUAUCAAGAUGAUCUAGAAUGAGAUGCAAAGCAUUCAUGGGAGGAAAUGCAAUCCUUGUGCACACGAAUGUGUUGUAAAUAUGAUCAAUGCAACCACGGUGCAAAAUGAUGUCAUAGUGAGAUGGUUUAUCAAUAGCAUGAAUAUGGCAAUGGAUGCUCAACAUGUGUAUGUUAUCAUGCAAUUGAUGGAGGACAAUAUGAUCAUGAUGUAUGAAUAUGCCAUCAAGGUAGAUCACAACAAAUUUGCUAAGGAAGUGCACAAGCUCAUAUAUCAUGGAUGACAUGGAAAUAGAUGCAACAAGACAAGCAUAAUGUGAGUCAAUCCAUGCAUGGGGUGCAAACUUGUGGUGAGUAUGAUAUGUCCAUCGAGCAUGACAUGUAUGAGCACAAUCAACAAAAAUGGAGGUGGUGGUGUACCGAUGCUCGAUGUCGUGGCAAGAGUGGAGGUUCGAAGGUGCAUCCAAUAAGUGCGAGCGCUCCUCAAUGUGAAGGUCCAUGUAGCCAAUCUCCAAUGUCGUUCCUCCGCUCACGAGAUGUAUCAUGUCGACAACAAGAAGGAAACAACAAUGAAAGAGUGACCCAUCCAAUAUGCGCAUUUGAGGAUGGCUCAAAGAGAAGGAGUUCACCUCAAAAAGUUCCCAAAGAUGUUGGAGUUGUACAUCAUGUAUGCCUUCACAUAACCAAUAUGUCGCAUAACGGCACCGCCUUGUGAAUCCUCCAAAAUGAAAGAACAUGAUAAACACUCAGAAAAACAAAUGAGGUUAGCGAAAAUGCAAAACCUAUCAUUCGAGUGGUAAGAUACCCAACAAGUGUAUGCAUCAUGCUCAUCAUAAGAAAGUACGAGGGAGCAUUUCAUAGUAUGGAGGCAUAUGAUGCAAGAACAACCAAAUACAAUAGGCUCAAGUAAACAAGCAUGCAUCACAAGUAAGUUGUCAAAGUCUCUAGGAUCAAUAAGUAUAGUAUGGUUGCACUCAAUACAAGUGGAUAUGAAAGAGGCAACUAAUGGACACAAGAGACAAUGAUCAAGAUAUAUCACGUGAGAGGCAUGAACAUAUAUGUCAUCAACCCAAGAAAGCGAGUAAGAGUGGAACAUGGGUGAUGCAACCAAGCAAGCAAUCAUAGAAAUCAAGUCAAGCAAGCUAGUAGUGCAAAGAUGCAACAUACUAGAAGGAAUCAUGGCAAUCAUGUCAUGUAUGCAAAUAGUGGGCAUGAAUAAUGCACAUGACAUAUCACAAGCAUGAAAGCAAGAUAUGAGGAAAAUAGCAUGAAUGUAUUGGUGAGAAGCCAUAUGUAAAUAGCAAUGGGUCAUCAUGACUCUCCCAACACAACAAGCAUCAAUAGCAUGGGGCACAAAGAAAUCGAGGCAAUAGCUACAAGUAUCUCCACCAAGCAUGCAAAUACACAUAGAAGUAUCAUAAUGGUGAAUCAUGGGUAGAUGCAAGCAAGGGUCACAAUUGCAUGGCAAAAUCAUGUAAAGAGGCAUAACAUGCAAAGUGAACACGAUAGUAUGGGCAUAGGGUGACAAGUGGUAAAUAGCCCAUAGCCGUGUGAGAGCCAAGUAGAAGAGAUGCGCGUAGUCCUUGCGCGAAGGGAAUGGUGGUAAGGAUAGUCCACGGGAUCCCAAAGUGUCGUUGCUCUCAAGAGCUCGUUUCGUCAACUCUUGGGAUUGAGAGGUUGACGAGUAUACAUGAGUACCUACACAAAACAAAGACAAAGAGAAAAUUGUGUGUGCAUGGUAUAUGUACACAUCAUCCAUCAAGAUGCGCAUGGGCAUGUGUCGUUAGCACAAAAUAUCCAAUGCUCAAAUAAAUGAGAUGCGUGAUAAGAAACAUGUCAUCCAUCAUGAUAGGUUUGUUAUUAUGUAUGGCAUAAUGGAGACUCAAAGGAUGUAAUGCAUCAUGAGAAAUAUCUAGAGCAUUGUUAUUCAUGGAAUGCAUAUGGUGCAAGCAAUCAUGGAAAUCAUGCAAAGGAUGGGAUGAAUCAAAAUCUCCAAACAUGUAAGAAGAAACUAUGGGGUUGUCCUCAUGAGCAUUAAUGGAAACAUCACAUGGAGUAUAUUGACAACAUCCAAAACAAUGCAUAUUGGGAACAAUGUGAUCAUGGCAUGACAUAGUAGAUGAAUUGCGCAAAUCAUGUAAAGGAAGCAUGGCAAUAUCAUCACAUGAAAAACAAAAGCCAAUGACCAUCAUCUCGUCAUCUAUGCCAUAAGUGCAAAUGGGACUUAUUUUAAUGGGGCAUGCAUAGUUACUAUGUUGAGAUUGUAAUGAUGCAAUAUGGGAGAUCUCACUCAUAGCAUAUGACAAGUUCAAUGGAUUGUCAAACAUGAAGUGACCAAUAGAAUUUUCAUAUGAUAUCCUAUGGAGCAUAGCAUCACAACUAGGCAACUCAACAUGCUCAUCAUCAUAUUCAUCAUAAAUAGGUAAGUCAAGGCAUGAAGAAGUCUCACUAGCAUGAAGCAUGGGAAUAGGUGGGUCAACAUCAUGGGAGCAAUCGGUGUCAAGAGAGUCCACUAGUGGGACAAGAGAAGCACCAUCACCUAUGUUACCGUUGGAGCGUCGCUCAUGUGUUGUAGGUGAGGUGUUGAAGAUCGUCUUGUUGUCAUCUUCAUCUUGAUGGAACCAUGUGGGGGUGCAUCAUUGUCCACCAUGGCCAUCGUCAUCUCCAUUGGAGGGAUGGACUCGUCGAGGAUAGACGGGUCGUCAUGUAGGAGACCUAGCACCAAAGAAGAAAACACACUAGGAGUAGAGGUUAAUUCGUUAGAAAUCAUAGUGGCCUCACAUGCCGUGUCAACUACCUCACUCACUAAGUGUUGUGGCUCACUCACUCCCUCAAGGAUGCUCUCACUCAUAUGGUUGGUGGAGUCACUCAAAUGGCACUCAACCUCACAUAGGAUGUGUGGCAUGCUCUCAUGUGUGGGGCUAGUGGUGGUCACACUCAUCCUCUCAUAGGAAAUGCUCUCAAUGUCACGUAUGGUGGAGUCACUCAUGUCACUCAUGUGGUGGUGGCUCUCCUCACAUGGCAAAUGGGGCAUCUCAACAUAUGUGGGUGUCAGAGAGAUGUUGGUGCAAGUGUCUCCAUGCGCGGUCGCAUAGCUUGACUCGGAGUAUGAGUCCAAUGUGGGCGUCGUCUUCAUGUUGUUGAAGAGGUUCCUGCUCGUCGCCGUAGUCGAAGGGGAUGGCCCUUGCUCGACUGUCUUGUCACCGUCUUGGUGUUGGAGGCCCAAAUGAUGUGGCACCUCGUAGCUCGUCUCCAUGACCGAAGGGAGUUUCCCAUGCUCGGCCAUCAUCCUUGAGGGGCUUCCAAAGGUGGAAGUGUCGCCCUCACUCGUAGGUAGCAGCCUUGGACUUGAUGAAGUCGAUGUAGGCAUACCCGUCAGAAGUAGGCAAAGAUGUUGUACGUCCAAAGGCGAAGAUGCCUUGAUAGCACUUGGCGAAGAUGCCGAAGUGGUUGUUGUAGUCGUAGCACCGUCUUGGUAGUGGUCGUCUCGCGGUCUUCUUUUGUGCUCAUGAAGCUUGGACUUGGCGUGAAGUAGGGCUUGUUGGGACUUGUGCAUUUGCGCUUGUGGAGCAUCUUCAUGAUGAUGAUGUUGUUGUCGUGCUUGAGCUCGUAGAAGAUGUCGUUCGUCGUCGUCGUGCACAUGAUGCUUGGAGGUGACUUGCCCUUCAUGACGAUGUUGAUCACGAACGUGAUGGUGGUCGCCAUGUAGAUGUGGACGAGGACGAUUUGCACUUGCAUCUUUUUCGCGCUUCGAAGACUUGUGGCUUGAAUGUCGCCACCUUGAAGAUGACGAAGGGGAAGAAGACUUGAUCAAGGCUCUAAUCUCCUCCAUCCUUGCAUCUUGCUCCUCUUUAUGUGCGGAAAGCUUCUUGUCGAUGUAGUCCCUUUUCCUUGCUUCGGAGUGACGAAUGUCGAUGGACAUGUUCUCGAUGCGCUCUCGCAAUCUUGAUUGUGCGCCUUGCAUUUGUCAUUGUAGAUCGAAGAUGGACGCUUUGUUGAUGUAGUUGUUCAUGCCAUCGUUGUUGUCGUAGACUGGAGAGGAAAUGCCUUGCCUAUCCAUCACAAGACUCGAGCAAAUAUGAGUGGGAGAAAGAGAAGAACUUAUACCAAUGUACCUUGACCGAUGUUGACAAUGAAUCAAGUUCACUCAAAUGCGGACAAUGAAAUAGCACUAUUGGUACCAAUCCUUGUCGGUUCUCACACCUACACAAGUAAAGCUUAUGGUGGAGCUCGGUGACGAUAGUGGCACAAAAAUUUAAUGCAAAAUGUUAGCAAGAGUCAAUAAUGUUGAAAGAGAUUCACAAAUUCGCAAGUGAAACAAAUGGACCAAUAGCAAUAUGGAUGGCACACGGAAACGCACACACGGAUAGAUAAAUGGGGUCGUGCAACCAAGGAAUGAGCACACAAUGUGGAAUCCACGGAAAACGCUCGUGUUGCAACUCAAGAGAGACGCUAGCAUGAUUGCUCAAUAGGCGGAUAUGACACUUGUGCACAACCUAUAAGAUGCAAAAUGGAUAAACUUUCUAUCCCAAGUGUGCUAUUUAUGUAUGGUUCUUGGUGUUUCUCUCAAGAUGAUCCAAGAUGAUCGGAUAUGACAAUCUUAUAUGCAAUGUGGUAUGAUGCUAUGGCACUUGCUUACAAGCUCUUUGCUCUCUCUUUUUCUUUGCUUAAAAGCUUAUUCUCUUUUUUUAUGGCCACUUUUGCACAAUGCACAAACCAAGAUAGCAAUUGUGUAUAUGCGGGAACAAACUUGUGACACAAGAUAUGAUACCAACAUAUGAACCAUGAUGAUAUGGUAUGUAUGCUAUGGGAAGUAUGAUCACUAAUGUGCACAAGUAACGUUGUCGGUAAUACUCAAAUGGCUAGUCUCGAUAGGCAAGUAACGCAAAAUGGGCUAGAGGUUAUCAAUGCAAUUGCAAGUGGAAUGUACAAUGGUGUCGUCGAGGUUACCGUCCUUUGCGAUGAUGAGUGGCGGUGUUCUUGAUGUAGAUACCAAUAUGAUGGAGACUCGUCCCUAAGUAGCCGAAACACCUUAGGAAACGGAAAAACUGCGAACUCAAAAUCUCAAAUGACAAAUGUCAAAUGAUGGUAGCGGAAAUCGGUGGUGGUUUGCACUUGGCAAUGCGGAAGUGGAAUGAUGAGCUAUACACGUGUCGGAGUUGAAGUUCUCAUCCCUAAGUAGCCGAAACACCUUAGGAGACACAAGCCACAACUCAAACAAGCUCAAACAACUAUUGUAUUAAGUUGGGGGUGGCGGAAGUGUAUGGUGGGUAAGCCUAUGCGGAAGUGGUUGUGGUGGUUGAUGAAGAAGCAACCGUCCCUAAGUAGCUGAAACACCUUAGGAGACUCGAAUCACUACUCAAGCAACCACUAAUGCUAUGGCAAGCAAAAUGGGUUAGGUUGCUGAAGUCGAUGCUGGCUAUGCGGAUAAUAUGGUGGAGGACCUAGGCACACUUGCUAAAUUUUGGAAAUUUGAUGGAGUCAAAUGAUGUUGGUGGUAUUUUUGUGGGAAAGGGGAUGUCAAGAGCUUCAAAACGAGCUAAAGAACGUCCAAAUCGGAGUUCGGAUGAAUUAGUUAUGGACAAAACAAAAAUCAGCCGAAGUCUGAAACUACAGGUUACGGACGUCCGUAAAUGGACGGAUGUCCGGUGGCCGGACGUCCGGUCAGGUCGGAAAUCCGAAAAUUCAGCUCGGGUUUGGGGUUCCAGUCGUCCGGGAAAGGUCGGACGUCCGGUGCUUCGUGGGGGUCCGGACGUCCGUAAAACGUCGGUCGUCCGGUGGGUCGGGGUCAACGCGAGAUCCGAGAUCCAGGGCGCGAUUUUGGGCGGAAAAUGGAGAUUCGGGGUCAAAAUUGAUGAGAUUCCGUGGAUGGAAGAUGGGGAAACUUGGGGCGAUGCUAGAUCCACUCGAAACCAAGAAAAUCCAUGGAUCAAAAUCAACAAAACUUCCUCAAACCAACAAAUCACAAAAAAAUUGGGGCUAUUUUUGGUGGGGAUUUUCCGAUUUAGGCAAGAACACAGCAAAAUUAGGCUAGAACAAGAGGGGUAGGGACUCCAAAAACGUGAUCAACGUGGCUCAUGAUACCAAGAUGAUGUAGGGCGGAACCCUAGGUGCCGAUCUUUCACGUUUGGAGUGGAUCCUGCGGGGAGACACGAAGAACGAGCGGAAGAAAACAAAGGGAAUCAUGGGGGAAAACGAGAGAAACGCUCAACCGACAAGGAAUCAAUCACACGAGUGCUAGAUCACCGAAAGCAAAAGGUAACACAUGAUCCAAAAUCAACAAGGGUAGAGGAUACAAAGGGAACCGUUCUUCUCCGAGAGGAGGUCUUGAUUGUCUUCCCUUGAAGGGGUCUUGAAUCUGCUUGGGGGAUCUUCUCCGAAAAGGUCAUGAACUCCGAGGAGAAGUAACCAAGUGGAUGAGCAAGACUCUCACACAAAAUAUGAGCUAAACCAAUGCUAACCCUAGCUAGGAGGUGGGAGAGGUCUAUUUAUAAUCUAAGUGAAUGAAAGGGUAAGUGGCUUCAGCCAACACACGGGUGGACGCACAGGCGUCAGACGUCCGACAGGUGCCGGUCGUCCGGAGGCUCACGGGGGUCCGGACGUUCGUAGGUCUUCGGACUUCCGUUGAUUCGGCUCGGGUCUUCAGGGGUCGGACGUCCGAUGGAUUCCGGUCGUCCGUUGGCUCCGGUCUUCCACAGAUUCGGCUCGGGUCUUUAGGGGCCGGACGUCCGGGCUGGGUCGGUCGUCCGGUGGCUGUAGCUUCGGGCAGCUUCUUCUCUUGGUCCUUGUACUUGGCGUCCUCGGUAGCUCUUCCGUUGGAUGUGGUGGCUUCGUGGCUUUCCCCCAAUUACCUGAUCAUGCAUAGAACACACGUUAGAGGUAGUAGCCAUGUCUCACAUGUAGAAAGUGAAGGUUCAGAAAGGAGCGAGUUCACCUUGUGUCCAAUGGCGUAUAGUUGAGGUCUCGUCAUAAGUCCUCUUGGGGUUUGGAGAGUAGUCGGAGUGUACGUGGGGAUGAACGUGGGAUGCUCCGCAUCAGCAGGUAGAAACCAGCUAGGAGAGAGGUGAGCCUGGUCCCUGGUCGGUGUCUAUGGUUAUUUCAUAAUAACACGCAUAAAGAGAUUAGGUAUUUGAUCUGAGACUGCCACUGGCAUAUACGCACCAACCACUGUGCGUGAUAAUGGUAUAUGGGACCAUCGGUGCCGUACGCUUUCUCCCGAAAGCUCUACAGAUAUCACAGUUGAGCGGCACGAGCCCGGGAGAUCCGUAUGUGCAUGCUUUGUAUAGAGAUAUAGCUAGGAUUGGUCCCGGUCGUCCACGCAGCGUGCAAGAGCGCUUAGGGCGAUCGGCCCAUGACCCCUUCGGGCUUAGAUUUAGACCGUUGACCUCUCUAGAGAGUCUAGGUAGGACUAUGGCAUGUCGAUUUUCCGAGGCUGGACAUUACUCGAAAAAGUGUGUCCGGCCAGAGGUAAUCGAGUGUAUCGUGUAAUGUGGUCCGCCCCUGCAGGGAAGUAAUCUAUUCGAAUAGCCAUGUCCAUGGUAACAGGAUGAGUUUGGAGUUGUAUCCCGACCUCUUACAACUAAAACUGGAUACUUUUUAAAACACACCCAGAGAAGAGACAGGUACCCCGAUGAUCGUUUCUCUCAGGGAGACGAGGAGAGGAUCUCCAGGCAGGAAUAUAGCUAAAUGUUGAUAUAAGAUGAUACUAUAUACGCUCCUCUCUUCUACUGCUGAAAGAUAUAGUCUUCGAUAGGAUGAACUUCUCCCCCUUUAUUCUGGCAUAUCCGCAGCUUAGUCCACAGAUACUACCCCAUUCCUUUGAUACCAAUCCAUAUCUAGUAUAGAUCUGAUGUAAGUCUUGCAAGUACUUUUGAUGAGUACUCACCGUUGCUUUGCUCCCCUUUUUAUUCGACCGAGUUGCUGCAACAGCUGGUAGCACCGCAGAUGCAGAUUUCCCUGAUGGUUCUUACUACGUGGCGACCAAUGACCAGGAGUAGUCCAGAGGUCCCAGGCAGGAGGCCUUGCCUUUCGAUCUAGAGUCGUUGUUUUGCUCAGCCUUCUUAAGGCAAAAUGUUUCUAACUACAUAUGUACUCAGAUAAUAUUUGCUUUGAUGACUUAUGUAUUUUGGGUCCUCAUGGCCCUGUCCUGUAAUAUAAAGAUUUAUGUUUAAAUUUGUGUCAUAGAGUUGUGUUCUGAUAUUGACGUGAUUCAUCGUUCGUGAUCGUGCAUGAUGCGUAUAUGAUUAGUGCACGAUUAUAGACGGGGCGUCACAGGACAACCCCUGGGAUAGGUGUGGAACCAAAAAAGGUUUUUGAACCAGCUAAGGUGUGAAAACGAUUAAGAAACUAUUUGGCUAAUGCAUGGUUGCCUUGGCAAGGUAAAAGCCAAAUAGAAUUCUCGCGCAGCUUUGACAACCUGGACACUUUCCACCAAAAUGGUUAGAGCUUUGGCUACAUAGCACCAAAUAAUGCACAAUUUUUUGGGUUGGAAAGUAGACAUCAAGGAGCUUCUGAUGAUACUAGAUGAUACCCUGCACAUUGCUGCGGGAUAGUACGCCAAAUCGACACAAAAGUAAUAAUCCAAGGUCAACAAUGUAACAACAUAGAGUUAGGUUCUCUAUUUGUAGCACACUGGGUCAUGUGGAUGCAUGAUAUCUUACCAUCAGUCACUCAGUCAAGCUCUUCUGAUGGGAUCAUGGUCGCCCUAAUGACAUUGUCCUCGAUGGCACUGCUAUCUCGACGUUUUUUGAUCCAGCUACUCAACACCAAGAUGCUCCAUUUGGUCCAACUUUUGUCAUAGACCAAGAAGCUACCGCGACCGCUCUCACGACUUCAACUUCUUCCUCGUCUUGGAUUCUUCAUUGGCAUCUUCCUUGAGUGGGUCAGACGAGUAGAUUGCCAUUUGUUUCUCAACCUAUUUGGUCACAUGUUUACAAAGGUGGAGAGAUCAAUGUGUUAAUAGCUUCGUGGUUCCUUUGGCGGGUUUUGCCUCGGGUUUACCACGCUUGCUACUUUGAUUUAUCUCUUAACGCAUUGUAAACUCUUUAUGUUGUGCUCAUAUAUAACCAUUAAACAAGUUAUUCCUCGUGCAUGUUUAAACUGCUAUCUUAUAUGCAUAUGGUUAUUCCUAAGAGAUCGUUGUUGUAUGCAUUUUAUUAUUCCUCUCAAGUUUAUCUUAUAUGCAACGCAUGCCCUCAAAUUUCAAGACACGGAGGAUCUCCACAAUUUUAACGCAUCAUGUGCAUUUGCAUUCCAAAGCAAAUUCUUCAAUAUGCACAUCUUCAGGGGGAGCUAUCUCUAUGUCUUUGAAUUUAGAAUCCUCAUAUCUUUUUACUUUUAAUUUAAUUUGUCCUCUCUUGAAGCUUUAACUGGUAUUGUCAUCAAUCUUCCAAAAUGGGGGAGAUUGUAAGUGUAUAUAGUGCCCCCUAGAGGGUUUUGGAUUAUUGAUGACAAAACAGUUAAGGACUGAUGUGUUUGCGAGUAUACAAGGUGAAAGUCCUUAGGAUUAGGUUUAAUAUGAGAGUUAUGACCCCCUAAAAAUUGUUGUGGCAAUGAAUAAUUUUGGAAUGCUUCUUCGAGGAACAAUCAACUUGUUGUGAGGAAUACGAAGUGUAGUGAAGACUUUGGUUUUCUAGUUUAAUUUUCUUCUAUUUGAGUCAUAGGACAAACCGUACUAUUAGGGGGUCUAAGUGAAAGUUGAGAUUGAGGUCUCUGAUGUGUGCUUAGUCCAAAUAUAUUUCUUUGAGUGAAGACUUGGAUACCUCUUUUGAGCGGAUAGUUUUUCUUCGGUGUCCGAGGUGAUAUUCUUCGGUACGCCGAAGGGAAAGUCCUCGCCAGUUGAGUCGACUGACUUGUUCCGCAAGUCAAGUCAUUGGUUGCGUUUGAAAUGCGACCAUUUCGCGACGUGUGGCAUGCUACGUGUUGCGUGUAUGUUGGCUAGCCACCGCCUCAAACGGUCAUAUCAGCCCUCAGGAUUGCUCUCGGCCAUAAAUGGCCACCCACUUCAACCUUUGAUGGUUGACUGCUUCGUGAGAGAAUUAAUAAAUGGCCACCCACUUCAACCUUUGAUAAUUGACUGCUCUGUGAGAGAAUUAAUUUGCCCGAGGAACCCAUCCUCUCGGAGAGAUUGAGAGAAUCCUAAGAGAGGAGAAACCCUAGAGCCUAAAAUCUGCUAAGUGAUUGAGCUUCACUGAAGAACUUGUCUUCGCCCUAGUACACUUGUGGACUGUUCAUAAACUUGUCUUCAACCUAUCACACUUGUGGAAUGUGCAUCCACUAGACUGUGCAUCCACUAGACGACUUGUCUUCACCCAAUUACGCUUGUGGACUGUGCAUCCACUAGCAGGGCCGGGCCAGCAAAAUCGGGGGCCCUGUGCCAACUCUAAAAUGAGGCAUAUCUUAGGGUGGCUGAGAUACAAACAAAACAUUAGGCAGAGUAACCUAAAGUAGAGCACAAAAAAGGCUUAAAUUUCAAACCAUGAACGGUUGUGUUUCAGUAGAAAUUUCAAACCAUCGGCAGAUUCAUGCUUGAAGCAACAAGGCCAGCUCGUGCAUGACCGGGGAAAUAGAAAGAAAAAAACAGAUGGUUAAAGCCAACUCUGGUACAGUUGAUACAAGGCAGCAAACCACUUGAUAAAUGGCAGUAAAAUAGCAAGGGGAGUACACUGAAAUUUUGACUGCAUAUGAACUAGAACUUAGACAGCCUAUACACUGAAAAUUGGACAACUCUACGCUGAAUAUUUGUACAACAAAAUACUGAAAUUUGGACAACAUAUGAACUAAAACUUAGACAACCUAUGCAGUGAAAAUUGGACAACACUAACCCUGAAUUUUUGUACAACAAAAUACUGAAAUUGAGAUAGCACAUGCACUGAAAUUUGCAUAGCAAGAAGAAUGAAUUUCUGACAAAAAAUACAAUGAAUUAUGGACAUGAACAAGGCUGAACCAGUGUCAAGAAUGAGCUGACCGGAAGGAGGGGACCCAAGUGGCCCAUCGUGUUGGCUUCCAUGCACUUAAGAUGCACCAAGAUGUAAAGCUUCACGAUGUCACGGGCAGCGCCAUCGCGCUCCUCCGCGGAGGAGAGACAACCCGAUGAACUGCCAUAUCGAUGAAGUUCUCGGUAGGGUGGCACAGCAAGUUCUUAUACAGCAGGAUGGAGCGGCGAAUGAAGCGAUGGAUCGUGCUUGCGUGCCGGUGAUGGAGCGUGCGCGCGGCGGCGGCGGUUGCACUCAUGUCCCAGAGCUGUAUCUGUGGCGGACAGAGAGAGACGAGAGUCAGCGAUGGAGCCAUUUAGUGGGUUGCGUGCCUGGUUACCGACCUGGGCCUUCUACUCGGAAAUGAUGUACAGGCCAUCUUGCACUGUUCGAAAAUUUGGGGGCCCUCAAAACUGGGGGCCCUGUGCCAGCGCACAUGUCGCACACCCAUGGGCCCGGGCCUGUCCACUAGACGAUUUGUCUUCACCCUAUUACGCUUGUUGACUGUGCAUCCACUAGACGGUUAUCUAUUCAAAAGCGUCCAAGAAUAGUUGUGGACUGCCGACGAACAUGUCUCUGAAUGUCAAAUAGAUUACCUUGAAGAUAUAUCACAAGUGAUUGGGCGAUGUCUCAAAGACUUUAACUCAAGGUAAAUAGGGUGAAUACUUGGUCUUCUCAGUUUAAUCUUGACCCCUCCAACCAGACUUAUAUUAGGUGAACGCAUGUUUUUUCGAAGAAUUUGUGGAAUCUCCCAUUCACCCCGUUCGAUACCUGAUCCUACAAUAGCGAAAUAGGCUUUCAGCGCAUUUUAUAUAAAAAGCAACGCAAGGUUUUACAUGAACCAUACAACAAAUAGCAUGGUCUGCUGGAAAUCAACUACAAGCAAAGAGAAAGCUGAAUCCAGGGGCACUUCGCCUAAGUGCAUCACAGUUGCUUGUACAUCACAGUUCCUAAUACAUCAAGGGGGAAAAAGGGUGGAGAAGUGCCUUGCAUGGCACUCCUUUUUAUUGCUCUUAUGAUCUCUUCGCGGCCUCGUUGGUUGAUUCCAGACUGAUGCAAGUAGCCCUGUCCCUUGGCACACAUUUCACAUCUGCCUGCAGGGCAACCCAAACAGAGUCAACUACUUACAAGAAGAGUGCUAAAAAAACUCAAAGUGAAUUUAUAGGAUACCAGUGCAUGGUUUGCAUGUACCAACUGUAUUGCUGCAUUUGCAUCAUGUUUGGUUUACAGCAUGUUCAUAGUUUCUGAAGCAAAACAUUACUGAUUGCAGACACCGAGGUGUGUAUGAGGAGACAACUUACUUCAUAUGACUGUUCCACUAGGGAGUAAAGCAUCCUUGAUCACAGUUACAAUGCCACUUUUGAUGAAGUAUCCAUCUGUCUCCCUCGCCGCUUCUUGAACAUUGUCAACAUUGAUUAUCUACAAUAUACCAACGAGUCCAGAUCACUACCAAAAACAACUCACAGUGCAUGAUAUCAUGUUCAAGGAAAUGGAUAUACAAUAUAGGAUAUGUUUGGUUGGUUCACAGGAUUAUGAAAACGUAGGAAUAGAAGAAGAACAAUGGCAAAAAAUAGGAUAGGAAUGCAAGUGCAAAACAACUUUUUCACACUAAUAUAAGCCUUGUUCUAAGGAAUAUAACAUAGGACAACAACAGCAAUGCCUUUCAGUCCCAAACGAGUCGGGGUAGGCUAGAGUUGAAAUCCAUAAGAUAUCGAAACCAAGUCAUGGUUCUGGCAGUGGACAACUAACUUACUCGCACCCCUGUCCAUGGCUAAAUCUUUGGUGAUAUUCCAGUUCUUCAGAUCACUCUUUAGAGACUCCUCCCAUGUCAAGUAUGGUCUACCCCAACCUCCCUUGACAUUAUCAGCACGUCUUAACCAUCCACUAAAGACAGUCAAAUCAAACUCAAAGCACAUGAAGAACGAUAACUAGGAUGGAAGUCAAGUAGAUUAUAAAAUUCCUGCGAUUUUCUUUUCGAAAUGUGAUCAAAGGAACAUUCCUCCACUUUUCCUUUGAACAAAACGAUUGAACAGUGUUGCUAAAAGAAAAUUUUAUUCCUACAUUUUUUCUCACUUUUCCUAUGAACUAGGCAAGGCCUAAAGCUUGUUAUAUAAUGGUUGCAUUUUGGACAUUACCAUGAGAAAAGUUAUGUUCGAGUUACAUAUUCAGUAUGACAGUGUUGCAGUGGAAAAAAAAAAGAGAAACCAAUAGAUGCUUAACCAUAAGUAUAUUAAUAUGGCAUACCAUCACGUUAUCUCCAAUACGAGCAUUCUUGUCAAUUAUUGCUCUUUUGAUGUGUGAAUUCUUUCCAAUACCAAUGGGAAUGCCACCUUUUUCAGCAAGGAGUUUCUUAUCCGCUUCAGUCUGUUGAACAACAAAAGAAAGGGUGAGUACAUCACUUUGCCAGAAGCAUAUUACACCUGUUUGAUUUUACCUCAUAGUAGUCCGCACCCAUUAGCAAUGUGUCCUCUAUUAUUGCCCCUUCAGAUAUGCAGGACCGGAGUCCAACUACUGAAUGGUGUAUCUUGCAGUUCUACGUGGACAGCAAAGAAAGGCAGAGGGAACAUAGAAGCCGUUAUUACAUACAGCAUCAAAAAUCACUUGAGAGAAGAUAUAACAAUCACAGCCCAUAAAUAAGUAUAGAUGGUUUUGAAAUAUGACUUUAAAAGCUUAAAGUUCGUUAGCACGAAGUGAAACACCUGAAGAAGGUUAGCAUACCGAGAGCCAACUGAAAAAGGCUACUUACUUUAAUAACACAUCCUUCACCAAUAACACUGUCCGUCACAUCAGCAUCAAGAACCUUUGAAGGAGGCAAGUGUCGAGGUUGUGUGUAAAUGGGAGCAGAACGGUCAUAGAAACUGCAUUCAAAUUGAACGUAUACAUUAAAUCAACAGGGGACAAUUCUAACACUUUACAUGCAUGAAAUUUCAUUAUUUUUGUCCACAAGGCAAAAAGUGAAAGCACACCUGAAAUCAGGUAUUGGCUUUUUGGUAAUUCCCAAAUUUGCAUUAUAGAAUGCCUCAAUUGUACCAAUAUCUUCCCAGUAACCAUCGUAUAGGUAUGCUUGUACCUGUUGGCAACAAUAACAAAACUCUUAAGAAGCACAUAUCACAACUAUGAAUGCCAAUGGAACUGCAUAUCCGAUAACGUAUUGUAUCCCCUUCCUUACGAUAAACAUAUGACUCGACAGUUUCUGUGAAGCUAAAAUGAUUCAAAUCAUAAAAGCAGAAGCAGCGAAAGGAAACUACUAACUCAAUGAGCUUUGCAUACCCUCAUGCCAGUGCUAGUUGCACCAGGAAUAACCUCACUUCCAAAGUCAUUAGCUCCAGGAAAUUGCUCACGGAGAAGCUGAAGCAUCACAUGUUUGCUAAUAACAUAGAUACCCAUGCUAGCAAUAUAAGGCAUUUCCUUUGCCCUCGCAUCGUCAAGGCCAAGUAUGGUCGUAUCAACCUACAAGAUCAAAACAGGCAGCAACGUGGUGUAAAUGCAUUCAACAGAAGAACUUUUUGGUGUAAUAAAUGAUGGUUCACAACUGUAUAUCUGAAAUUAGUUAGAAAGGCACAGCGUCAGUGUACCAUUACAAGAUCAAAACAGGCAGCAACAUGGUGUAAAUGCAUUCAACAGAAGAGAUUUUGUGGUGUAAUGAAUGAUGGUUCACAACUGUAUAUCUGAAAUUAGUUAGAAAGGCACAGCGUCAGUGUACCAUCAUAGCUUUCAACUGUUCUCCUUUUGGUUUCUCUGCGAAUUCAAUUAUCCUCCCUUCUUCAUCGAUUUUCAUAAGGCCAAAUGCAGUUGCACGUUCCUCAUCCAUGGGCAAGGCAGCAACAGUAAUAUCAGCAUCUGUUUCUCUGUGUGCCUGAAUAAACUUUUCAUAGUCCAUUCGGUACAGGUGAUCUCCGGCAAGAAUUAGAUAUUCCAUAACAUUAUGCUCCUCGAAUAGCCACAAGUACUGCCUUACAGCAUCUGCAGUACCCUGAGAUAAGAUGAUAAGACAAAGUGAAUACCCUGCAAAAGCUUGCAUGGGAUCCUAGAAACACUUUAUGUUGAUAAGAAAGGCUUAUGAUCAUCAAGAAGUGAGCAGAGCUCACUUUGUUAGGGGAGUGGAUCUACAGCCCAGCCACCCAGGUUCAAGUCCUCACGGACAUGACUUUGGUUCUUAUUAUCUAGAAAAACGCUGUAGGGUACUGGUUUGACAUAAACUAGCAGAAACUGCAUGUAGCUGUGUGGUAUAACACUCACAAUCUAAACCAAAAACUAUGAUGAAUAGUAUGUUAUAGCGACAAACAUAUGAAAUAUGAAACAUAGUUUGAUCCGCUAUGUUUACUUAUAAACGAUGAUGACUGGCUAUUGCUCAUAAGAAUCAAAAUCAAAGUUACAUCACUAACCAUUCACGUAUACUAAUUCUAAAUUCGUAACUAGUGAACUUGUUCAGGACCAGAUCCUGGUACACAAAACAGAUUCCUAUAAUACAGAAACACUGUUAAAAUCAAUUCGUGAAAAUUUCUGAGCAUCUCUACUUGAGCUUAAAACUGUCUUGUGAUAGCAUGCAAUCAAGAAAAAAUAAAUACAGAACUAUUAGGGUAGUAUUCAACUAACAAUUCUUAUAAUCUAUAUCAAGGUUUUGUAAAAAGGGAUAUUAAUGACGCCUUGGAACAGUUUGUUUCUUUUUUAUUCUGGAUCUUGGAAGGCUGGCCCUGAGAUUUUCACAGAGGGCUUAGUGAAAUUCAUUCGUGGUGAAAUGAUACAAUCAUGCAUACUUAUGAAGGAAUUGUAGAUUUUGCCUUCUUCUAAAUGCUAACACGAGACAAAUUAUGAUCAUCAGUAGAUGAAUCUCGCAUUUUAGAUUAAACAAAAACACUUAAAUAACAAUGAAUGAGAUACCUGAAACCAGUCAGGGUUAUCUGGGCUCUGCUGUGCAGCAAGGACUUCAACAAAUCCUUCAUUCUUGUAACCUCCAAUGUUGCUCCCAUAGGCUCGUGAGAGAUGACGAUUAAGAGAUGCUGAGUUGAACUGCGUGAGCACAUAGAUCUUUGAUAUGUUGCUGUUCAGACAAUUACUGACAGGAAUAUCAAUAAGCCUGUAGUUGGCACCCAAUGGCACUGCAGGCUUCGCACGCUUCUUCGUCAGGGGAUACAAUCUAGUCCCUGCACCACCUCCAAGAAUAAUUCCGAGAACACUCUGCACAGACAGCAGAAACUCAUCAAUUGCCUAUUGCAAAGUAAAUCAAACAAAGAACGAAGAAACAAGUGUUCCAGGCGGUUGGCAUUGAGUUCAGCUUGUUUACCACCAAAAGAGAUCAUGGAACAAAUGCAACAUGGGGCAACAAGUUUAUCCAAUAAAUUGGAGCUACAAUAUCUAGCAAUCUUUUGUAGAUAAUGGCCGGCUGGCUGGUGAAUAGUUCUGACCUUUUAUUUACCAAUCAAGCUGAAACUUAUGUUCAGUUUUUUUUUUCGAAUAUGGGUUUAAUCGGACGUCAGAUGUCUCAAUCAGCAAUUCAGCAUUGCAGCUGAGACAUGAUCCAAGUUCUUCCUGUUGUGUAUAACUUUUUCACAUCAAUUAGAGUCUUCCAUCAGCACAGAAGACCCCAAUCUAUCAUCGCCUAAAACUCGCCUGGUUGUAUUACUUUGUUUAGUUGUGUUGAUGUCAGAACGGUUUGUGAGGAAGAGAGGCAACCACCAUUGAUUUGAACCACGUGGAUAGACUCUACUACCCUUUUUAAUUAAAAUGAAAGGGCAAGUUUUAACCUCCACCACAUCCGAAAUCGUAAUCUUUUCUAAAGGGGUGUACUGAAGCAGAACUCAAAGAAGAAAAUUGAACGAGUUAAAAAGAAAAAUCCAAGAACUUGAUCUGAUUGCCUAGUAGUCUUUAAGAGCCACAUGCCAUGGAUCAUGACAUCUUCUUUAUGAAUUUCUUAUGGGGCUCACACCCACACCCAUUGAUUAAGUAGGACUGUUCAACAAACGUCCACAGUUGCCACAUUUGCUGAAAUCUAGUAAAAAUAAACAAUUGGAGCCAAUGAAAAUGUCCACAUGAUUAGUCGCCAGAAAGCUCCUGCUAUGCGCUAGCAAAGUAGAGUAGUAUUUUUUGAUCAUCUCUAAGAAAUGUCCACAUGAGAACACAAGGCGUGAAUCACAUUUGCGUAUCUAAAUGACCGAGGCAAUAAUUUCCCGCAUGCAUCAAAUUCUCAUCCGGAAAGAUACGGACGCAACGGAUCAGGGCGGCGCGACAAGACUAGGCGGCAAGCGCCGCAUUUGCGCACCUAGGCGAGGCGAGGCGACGUACCGUGCUUGCGUCGGGGUCGAGACAGGUCUGGGAGCUCUUGGAGUCUGACACGGCACGUGGGGAGAAGAAGAAGGGCCGCCGCGGAGCCGAACGCGCGACCAACCCGCGUGGGCGCUGGCGCCGUCCUCGCGGCGCGCAGAGGAGGCGGAAGGAGUCGCAGGAGGUGGACGCGGCAGCGGUCGCGGCGGAGGCUCGGUGCGGAGGGAUCAGGAUCUUGGAGGGGGAGGCGGCCGCGGCCAUCGCCAUUGAGGUGGAUGACGAGCUCGAGUCACGGGGCUCCCGUGGCGAGAGAUCACGAGGGGGAAGGGAGAGAUACGCCUGACACCCAGUGGUGCAGUGUGGCUGAGUAAAUUUAACUAAUCUUUUCGCAAGAUCUUUCCAUUUUCAGUUUUUUUCCCAUUUUUCUUUUGGAGAGAGAGAGAGUGCUGCGUGGGAGUGAGAGGGAGAGAAAGUGAGUGGGAUUGUCAGCAGGUGGCACUUUUGGAAUGAUCUCCUUGGGUAGGACAUGACCACGAUGAUUUUGGACAUAUCACUUGUAAACCUUUUUUUCUCUUAAUUAUCUUGUCACUUGGAUUUUUGCUACUUGACGGGCUAGUACAUACUCUCCCCCUCCCAAAACUUUUGUCAUAGAUUUAUCUAAGAUACGUAAUGUAUCUAGUUACGUUUUAGUAUUAGAUACAUCUGUAUCUAAACAAAUAAAAACAAGAAUUUUAGAAGAAAGUUAAUAUAUAUUUCUUCCGUUCCUAAAUACAAGUCUUUUUAGAGAUUUCAAAUGAACUACCAUAUACGGAUGUAUAUAGACAUAUUUUAGAGUGUAGAUUCACUCAUUUUGCUCCGUAUAUAGUCACUUGUUGAAAUCUCUACAAAGACCUAUAUUUAGGAACGGAGGGAGUAAGAUGGAGCACUAAAAAAAAUAGCAUUGCAUGAUCAACUUUUAGUCCUUUUUCCAUACAAGUGAGGUGCACAAAUAGCUAAUAACAUACUACUUAAUUCAAUGCAUGCUCUUGUGGAAAAUCUUCUAAUUAUGCUCGAAGCUGCCCUAAAGAAUCCUUUCCUAGAACUUUCUAGAAAUAAUAUUACUGCAUAUGAAACACCAAGUUGGAAUAGAAAAUGGAAAUCAUGGUUAAGAUAGUCACUACUUACAUCAUCAACAUGUGGAUUGAGAUCUGCAUGCUUCGAUGAGCUCUUAUGGCCAUCAAUGUUGCAUUGUUCACGCUUGGAAGGGGAGGGCGAGGGGAAGGUUUUAGAUGCCAAAGGCACAUCCAUUGCCGAGGGAUAAGCAAUGGAAGGAUAUAGAUAUUGAGUGAUGUGUGAGCAAACUGUUCCCUGAUUUAUAGGUGAAGGGAGUAUAUGCACGUAUAAAAAGGCGCAUAUGGAUAUCCUUAUGCGACGAAAUUAGUUGUUAUGUGACAAUCUGUAAAGUGUUUGGCUUUCUAAUAUGCUCUUCACUUUAUUGGCAGCAAGUUUAGCACAUACAAAAAGGCACGCACAUGGAUAUCUUUGUGCGAUGAAAUUAGUUGUUAUGUGACAAGCUGUAAAGUUUUUGGCUUUCUAGAUAUGCUCCUCGCUUUAUUGGCAGCAAGUUUAGCCACAUUAAAAAGCGCACAUGGAUAUCUUUGUGCGACGAACUUAGUUGUUGUGUGACAAGUUGUAAAGUUCUUGGCGUUCCAGAUAUGCUCUUCGCUUUAUUGGCAACAAGUUUAGUCAUACUAGAAGCACACAUAGAUCAUUUUUUCGAGAACACACCCAAAAAUGGCGUACAACUUUUAUGAAAGAAAGGACAAAGAUGCCCACCCUACAUAGCGGCUUACAACUCUUGAAGGAAGGAUCCAGGUAGCCCACAACAGAAAACAAAAAAGGCUACUCCUCGCUAAUGACUACUGACGUGUCGGCGUGGAAGCACAAUCACCUAUGGGGCAUGGGUGCCCCUUUUUGGUUCGGCAUGGGGACGACCACGUUACACAAAGAGCAGAAACAUAAGGGGACAACACGGCAUGGCGAUGGACUCUCUCUUUUUACCCAGGUUCGGGCCGCUUUGCAGCGUAAAACCCUACUCCUGCUGUGGUGGUGGAUUGAUCUGGGGGAACACGAAGGCUCGACGCGCUCUGGACCGGCAAGGUUGCCUCGGGGAGAGUGACGUGAGCGUACAAGUGUUGUGUGAUCGAAUGUAUGAACCCCUUGCUAGGUUGCCUCGGGCCUCCUUUUAUAGGUUAAGGGGUGACCACAGUGGCAAAACAGUCAUUUGGGUGUGAUUAGAUAGCUCACAAUGCUAUCAUACCUAACUGUGGCAGUUAGGAAAAAGUGCAUUAAAUAUUGUGCUAGGUGUCGUGCUGAGGGUGAAGCCCGGCAAGCCUGUCGCGCCACUUAUCCUCUUCUUAUCAACUUGACACGCCUCCUGGACGGGUGUCAACAAAGCUAAUCCCUUCUCUUUUAUGCUGCCACGUACCUAAUAGGUUCCACCAGGUUGCUUGGUUCCUUGACACUGAACUGAUAAGUGAAUUGGGUGUGAUGAGGUGGAGUGGUGGCGUCUCGGUGAAGGUUCCCCGGAAAGGGAGCUUGGCGGGGUUUGGUCUUGGCGGCCCCCGCAACCCUGCCGGGGCGAAUCUGGACCUGUCCUCAGGUGCGGUCUCGGCCUAGCCAGGCUCUCCUGCCCGGCAAGGGAGGCCUUCCCAAGGUGGACUUCUGCUAGUCGGUCUUCUUAAUGCUCUCCUUGAUCUCACGAAGAGCGGCUUCUCUGGCUUAACUUUAUGUCAUGCAUUGGUGUUGGAUGUAUGAUCGUCAGCAUGCCUGUGCAUGAGUCCGGUCAGCAAACGUGGAUGUUUGUUGCCCUGACAGGAGCCCCAGGGCCUGGCCCACACGUGUUGUCGGGCAUCGUUGGGGUAAGCCCCAAAUAAUGCACAAGCUGACAACCUGACCUUCUUUACUUCUUUACUUCUUCAUUAACCUGAAUUUGAAUCAAUUCCCGGGUUCCCCACGAGUCGUGCAACGUCAAACGACGUGGGUCUACCCAUGUAAUGGGCCAGAGAACACCCACGUUCAUGGGGAGUUGAUUGAAGUGUCUACGCAUGAUCCGGGGGUAACCGCCAUUUCACCUUACCCACCACGCAUGUCGUUUCCGCCACGUGUGUUGCAUGCAUUGCACAGGGUUUGUGACUGACACCAAGGAUGCAGGCAUGAGUGCCAUGGCAGAAAGUCUGGCGCCAUGGAUUGGCGCAGAGGGGCGGCCGAAGAAUCUGGACAUCGUCAGUGACGCAGAUAAACCGCAUUGGAGGAGUGGGGCGGUUGCCUCAGGAUGGUGGGGAGCCAGCCCACUACCACGCUCUGCUAUAAAAGAGAGUGCGAGGGGAAUGGAAAUGCUCACCCACGCACCUUCUGCUCCUUCUUCUCGUGUUCUUCUCCCACCAUGGUCAGGGGAAGAGGAGACGCUCGAGAUCCAGCGGUGGCGAUAAGGGCCUCCUCUCGGCACUGUAUUCCCGCCCCCGCUGGGGACAUAGGGGCAGGAUCCAGUACUCAAGGCGGAGCCGCAGGACGCGGUCGUGGCUGGCGCGGCGCUCGGGGCUGAGGUGGACGUGGUGGUGCUCCGAUCGCGCCUCCCCCAGCUGCUCUGAUUCCAUUGGAAGGCCAUGUUGGAGAUACGACACUGGAAUUCAUCGUCAGGCUGUGAGAACCCCCGCGUAGCCAUCUUUGGCUUCCUAGCCCCUUUGCAAGGGUGAUGGAGGUUGAACAGUCGCACGGGCUAAAGUUGCACAUGAGUGGUUGCUGCAAUGGCACCAUGCGGGUGGACGUCGAGUUCUCUGCACCUCAUAUCAUGCUUCUUCGGUGUGGCUGGAAAACUUUUGCACGUGCCCAUAGCCUGGCGGAAGGGCAUGUCCUCCAUUUUAAGUUAAUGGAGGUCGAUCUACUCUCCAUCAAGGUCUUCGGGCGCUCGGCUGCUCGCUUAGGGUGUUGUGCGGAAAGCUCGACCGACGAUGGAAGCUCCUCCUCGAGCGACAACGACGAAGAGGACAUUGACGACGAAGAUGGCGACGACGAGCCCCCAGACAUCAAGCAUGAAGAUGACAACUCGGACUUCGGCUGAGCGUCGGACACGCCGUCACCAUUAGCUAGGCGCCAGCAGCACCAUCAUCUGCAGCUGGACCCCGGCAGAGCAAUUUGCCGGGGGUGUUUGGCCCGGUCGACUCCGCUUCCACCAGCUGGACCCCGACAGGCUUCCUCAUGGACUCUAGCUUCGUCUUCCCUGCUAGUGUCCCUCUUACCGCGUUCCUUUGGUCCUAGCGGGGUGACCAGGGCAUCGCCUAGCCGCUCUCCCCAUCCACAACCUCUUCUUCCUUGCCGGGGAGGCGCCCUCCCAAUCUUGUCAGGCUGCGUCCCGCGGGCCCUAACGUGGUCGGGCUGGGCUUCUACCCAGGCGCUCCUUUUGCCCUCUUUCCUUCUCGAUGCAAAUCCUAGGAGGAGAGGGACAAGAAAGGCAUUACGGGGCACUUAUCAGUUUUCAAUUUAAAAGAUGUAGCCACCGGCCAAGUUUUAAUUCAAAUCAUGUAAUCCUCUAUCCAUGUUUGUAUUCUGUAUGAUCUAUACUUGUUUAUCCACGUAUCAAUGGAAAAAGAAUGCUUGUCGGGUACUUGUGCAUGUAUCAUAUCCAUGCCGAGGAAUGAUCCCUCAAUACUCUCAAGUAAACAAGGUUCUCCCGCAAGACAUCCUGCCGGUCCUUACCAUNNNNNNNNNNNNNNNNNNNNNNNNNNNNNNNNNNNNNNNNNNNNNNNNNNNNNNNNNNNNNNNNNNNNNNNNNNNNNNNNNNNNNNNNNNNNNNNNNNNNNNNNNNNNNNNNNNNNNNNNNNNNNNNNNNNNNNNNNNNNNNNNNNNNNNNNNNNNNNNNNNNNNNNNNNNNNNNNNNNNNNNNNNNNNNNNNNNNNNNNNNNNNNNNNNNNNNNNNNNNNNNNNNNNNNNNNNNNNNNNNNNNNNNNNNNNNNNNNNNNNNNNNNNNNNNNNNNNNNNNNNNNNNNCCCCAAUGUCACUACAACCAACUUAACCGAAAAGACUUCAAAUCAAAAGGUGGGAGCAUAGAUGUUGGGAGGGACAAGGUUUCCCUAUGUACAAGUUCUUCAUAUGUGAAUACAUCAUGGAUGGCGAGCUAAACUUAUCUAUGUUUGUUGUCCUUCUUAUCGCUCCCGACAAGAAAGAGCUAUCUGGGACCAAUAUGCAAGGGAUGACGAAAACGAUUCCCGAGCUCUUCGCAAUGCUAAAGGUUACGGAGGUAGAAAUCAAGAAGGAGCAUCAAGUGUUGAUGGUUAACAAGACCACUAGUUUCAAGAAAAAGGGCAAAGGGAAGAAGGGGAACUUCAAGAAGAAUAGCAAGCAAGUUGCUACUCCCGGGAAGAAGCCCAAGUCUGGACCUAAGCCUGAAACUGAAUGCUUCUACUGCAAAGGGACUGGUCACUGGAAGCGGAACUGCCCCAAGUAUUUGGCGGAUAAGAAGGAUGGCAAAGUGAAAGGUAUAUUUGAUAUACAUGUUAUUGAUGUGUACCUUAGUAAUACUCGUAGUAGCGCCUGGGUAUUUGAUACCGGUUCUGUUACUCAUAUUUGCAACUCGAAAUAGGGGCUAUGGAUUAAAUGAAGAUUGGCUAAGGACGAGGUGACGAUGCGCGUCGGAAAUGGUUCCAAGGUCGAUGUGAUCAUCGUCGGCACACUACCUCUACAUCUACCUUCAGGAUUAGUUUUAGACCUAAAUAAUUGUUAUUUGGUGCUGAUACGUCUCCAGCAUAUCUACAAUUUAUGAAGUAUUCAUGCCAUGUUUACAAUAGUUUUAUAUGAUUUUGGUAUGAUUUGAUUAGAACUAACCCGGACUGACGUUGUUUUCAGCAGAACUACCGUGGUGUUGUUUUUGUGCAGAAAUAAAAGUUCUCGAAAUGCGCUAAAAAUCAACGAAGAUUUUUUUGGAAAAUAUAAAAAAUACUGGAACAAAAAUCUACCAGAGGGGAGUCCCGAGGGGCCCACGAGGGUGGAGGGCGCCCCCACCCCACUGGGGCGCGCCCCUAUGCCUUGUGGACUCCCCAUGGGCCCCCCCUGAAUUGUCCUCGAUGCCAACCUCUCCUAUAAAUGCCCAAACCUCCAGAAAAUAACCUAGUUCGGAAGUUCUACCGCCGCAAGCCUAUGUAGCCAUGAGAAAUCAAUCUAGGCCCUCUCUGGUACCCUGCCGGAGGGGGCCAUCAUCACCGGAGGCCAUGGGGGAGGAUCUCGGAGGGGCCAUCAUCGCCAAGAAGGCCAAGGACCAGAGGGGGAACCUCUCCCCAUCCGGGGGAGGCCAUGGAGGAGGAAGCACAAGGGCGAGAACCUCUCCUCCUCUCUCUCGGUGGCACCGGAGUGCCAUCCGGAGGGGAAUCAUCGCCGCGGUGAUCGUCUUCAUCAACAUCACCAUCAUCAUCACCCCUCAUCUCUUUUACGCGGCCCACUCUCCCUCACCCCGCUGUAAUCCCUACUUGAACAUGGUGCUUUAUGCCACAUAUUAUGAUCCAAUGAUGUGUUGCCAUCCUAUGAUGUUUUGAGUAGAUAUCCUUUAUCUUUGGGUUGAUUGAUGAUCUAGAUUGGUAUAAGUUGUAUGUUUUUUUGGUUAUGUCCUAUUGUGCCCUCCGUGUCGCGCAAGCGUGAGGGAUUCCCGCUGUAGGGUGUUGCAAUACAUUCAUGAUUCGCUUAUAGUGGGUUGCUUGAGUGACGGAAGCAUAAACCCGAGUAAGGGGGUUGUUGCGUAUGGGAUAAAGGGGACUGGUUAUGUUAAUGCUAUGGUUGGGUUUUACCUUAAUUAUCUUUAGUAGUUGUGGAUGCUUGCUAGAGUUCCAAUCAUAAGUGCAUAUGAUCCAAGAAGAGAAAGUAUGUUAGCUUAUGCCUCCCCCUCAUAUGAAAUUGCAAUAGUGAUUACCAGUCUUAUUAACAAUUGCCUAGGACGAUUACACACACCGACCCAUCAUUAUUCCACACUCGCUAUUUAUAAUACUUAAGUAAUAUAUUCUAACUCUAUGAUAAAAGCACCUACUUUUAUAUUUUAGCUCUCCGAUAUCAUACAAAGUUAUCCUCUUCAUACCCACAACAUAGUUUUAUUUCUUGUUUCUAGUUGGAAGCAAAUGUUCGGUGUACAUAGAGUUGUAUCAGUGGCAGAUAGGACUUGAGAGAAUAUUGAUAUUACCUUUAUCUCCUCGUGGGUUCGACACUCCAUGCUUAUCACUUCCACCUUUGGGAAUUGCUACGAUGAUUCCCUACACUUGGGGAUUAUCAAGCUCUUUUCUGGCGCCGUUGCCGGGGAGCAAUAGCGUGGGGUUGAUAUUCUCGUGUGUGCUUGUUUGCUUUCUUCACUAAAUAGUUUUUGUUUUCCCUUUUAGUUUUCCUUAGUUGUGGAUGAAACAUACAAAAAUCAAAAAAACUAAAAUACAAAAAUAUGCACUUGCCUCAUAUGCCUAAAAAGUUUUCUAAAAAGAGAAGUGAUUGGAAAGUUAUGCAUUGAAGAAGUGAGGGCCGACCUUGUGCACUUGGGUUCAUGCUCAUGGAAACAAUGUAAAACAUUUCAUGGAAGUUUCUCUGAAAAUAAUUAUCCCCUUGUAUAUAUCCAUUGUAUUAUAAAAAUAUUGUGCCAAGCUUUGGUUUUAGGAUGAUUAGAUUGAUUGUUUACUUUGUGCAGUACAAAAACAGAAACUUUGGCUGUAGCAUGUGAAUUUAAUUUUUUUUACUGGAAAGUCAAAUGGGUCUGAAACUUUUUGCACUUUACUUCUGUACAAAUUUUUAAAAUUUUCAUAUUUUUUUUAGAAUUUUUUGGAGUUACAGAAGUUUACUAAAUUUCCAGAUUACUACAGACUGUCUUGUUUUGAUAGAUUUUGUUUUCUAUGUAUUGUUCACUUAUUUUGAUGAAUCCAUGGGUAGUAUCGGGGGGUAUGAACCAUGGUGAAGUUGGAAUACAGUAGAUAAAGUGCUAGUAUUAAAUUGAAAUGAGUUUUCAACAGUACCUAAAGGUAGUGAUUUGCUUUAUUAGACUAGCGGAUCUCACAAAGUUUUUGUUAAGUUUUGUGUGGAUGAAGUGUUUGAAGAACGAGGAGUUACCGAUGUGAGAAGAAUAAAGAGAUACAAGAGUUCAAGCUUGAGGAUGCCCAAGGCACCCCAAGUAAAUAGUUCAAGGAUACUCAAGCAUCUAAGCUUGGGGAUGCCCCGGUUGGCAUCCCAUCUUUCUUCUUCAACAAUUAUCGGUAUACCUCGGUUUUUGUUUUGUUCGCAUGAUUUGUGUCCUUUGUGUUUUGUUUUUCUUUAGGAACCAUGCUAUUAUGAGAUAGCCCUUCAUUGAUUUAUAUAAUGCUUCAUGUGCUUCACUUAUAUCUGUUGAGUAUGAUCUUAUAGAAUGCUCUUUGUGCUUCACUUAAAUCUUUUGAGUAUGGUUUUAUAGAAUGCUUCGUGUGCUUCACUUAUAUAUUUUGAGCUUGGAUAUUGGUCAGUAUAUAUUAAUUGUAGAAUCCCCCAUGAACUUCACUUAUAUCUUUUGGAGUAUGAAUAAUACUAUCAUCUAAAGUGGCUUUGGAAGAGUGUCAACUUUAGGAAUUAGUGCUCCCACUAUUUUGGAGGGUGUUGAAUCUUAGUGUGAUAUUCAUGAAAGUGGAUUUGGAAGAGUAUCAACUUUAGUUAGUAAUGAUUCCACUAUUUCGGAAGAGGUUCUAAUUGAUUAUGAGAAUGAAGUUGUUAUCUAUGAUGAUUAUUGUGAUAACAUGUAUGCUAUAUAGGAAUAUGUUAACCAUGAAACUUGUAAUCAUGCUUUUAAUUUUCAAUUGGAUUAUGCCUCACAUGACAGUUAUUUUGUUGAGUUUGCUCCCACUAUUCCGAAUGAGAAGAAUUUUGCUUAUGUGGAGAAUAGUAAAAUUUAUAUGCUUGCAGAUCAUGAAAAGAAUGAUUUAUGGAAGGGUUAUAUUGUUGGAUUCAUUCAUGAUGCUACUAAAAAUUAUUAUGAGGGAGGAAUAUAUGCUUGUAGGAGUUGCAAUAAUAUCAAGUUUCCUCUCUGUGUGCUUAAAGUUUUGAAGUUAUACUUGUUUUUCCUUCCUAUGCCAGUUGAUCCUUGUUCCCAUAAGUUGUGUGCUCACAAAAUUCCUAGGCAUAGGAAGUGGGUUAGGUUUAAAUUUACUAGUCAUAUUCUUCAUGAUGCUCUCUUUAUGUUUCAAUUCUUAUCUUUUAUGUGAGCAUCAUUUCAUCAUGCCUAGCUAAAAGGCAUUAAAGAAAAGCGCUUGUUGGGAGACAACCCAAUAUUUAACCUUACUGUUUUUAUGUGUCCACAUGGUUAAGCUACUGUAGUAAUCAUGUUUUAUAGCUUUUGUUUCAUUAAAAUGCCAAGUAAGACCUUUGGGAAGACUUGGGUGAAAGUUAAUGUGAUCUUGCUGUAAAAAACAGAAAUUUUGUGCUCACGAGAUUAGCUGUCACUUUUUACAGAAGAGUGAUUUUGAGUUGAUUCUUCUUUCAGAAGAUUAAUGUACAAAUUCCUCACGUCCACCAAUUUAUUUCAUAAUUUUUGGAUUAGCAGAAGUAUGGUUUCUGUUCAGAUCACUACAGAUGGUUCUGUUUCUAACAGAUUCUGUUUUCGUUGCAUAGUUUGCUUGUUUUCUAGUUUUUAUGGCUUAUAUUUCUCAAUAUAAAUUGUAGAAAUGAUAUGAUACAGUAGUCAUUGUGUGAUAACAAUUAUGAAUCUUGUCUUUUACAGUACCAAAGUGAAUGGUUUACUCUUGAUCAUACUAACCCAUCUCACGAAGUUCCGUUAAGUUUUGUGUGAUUGAAGUUUUCAAGUUUUGAGUGAGAUAUCGAUAUGAGGAGAAUAAGGAGUGGAAAGAACCUAAGCUUUGGUAUGCCCAAGGCACCCCAAGGUAAUAUUCAAAGAAGACUCAAGCGCCUAAGCUUGGGUAUGCCCCGGAGGGCAUCCCCUCUUUCGUCUUCAAAACUAUCGGUAUACCUUACUCAGAGCUAUAUUUUUAUUCGUCACAUGAUAUGUGUUUUGCUUGGAGCGUGUUUUCAAUUUUGCUUGCUGUUUGAAUAAAAUCAUUGGAUCUGAAAUCUUGAAUGAAAAAUAAUCCUCCCGUGGCUACUUAAUUAUUUGACUACUCAGUGUUCUUCAUUUAUAUCUUUUUGGAGUAGUUUGUCAUUUACUCACAUGCUUCACGUAUACCCUAUGAGUAAAUAGUUGAAUGAAUUGAAUAUCAUAAAUAUGAAUUUUUAUAUAUGUUUCAUAUGCUUAUAACAUGGGGAGUAAUGACUUCCCACAUAAUAAGCAUAAGUAUAAGUAUAACAUCGGGAGUAAUGACUUCACACAUAAUAAGUAUAGGUAGUAAACUUAUUGAAAGUUAGCAAACGCAGAAUUGGUCACUUGAACAAUUCAUGAAAAAAUAUUAAAGAGAUAUUUCACAUAUAAAUAUACUAUCUUGGACAUCUUUUGUAAUUGUGAGCACUCGUUAAAAUAUGACAUGCUAAAAAGUUGAUGCUGGACAAGGAAGACAACUUAUUUGGUUAUAUUUUCCUAUAUCCAAAAUGUUAUAUUGUCUUGGAUCAUCCAACAUGUUGAGCUUGCCUUUCCCUCUCAUGCUAGCCAAAUUCUUUGCACCAAGUAGAGAUACUACUUGUGCUUCCAAACAUCCCUUAAACCAGUUUUACCAUGAGAGUCCACCAUACCUACCUAUGGAUUGAGUAAGAUCCUUCAAGUAAGUUUUCAUCGUGCAUGCAAUAAAAAUUGCUCCUUAAAUAUGUAUGAUCUAUUAGUGCGAAGAAAAUAAGAUUUAUACGAACUUGUGAUAGGGAAGAAAUAAAAGCGGCAGACUGCAUAAUAAAGGUCUUUAUCACAAGCGGCAAUAUAAAGUGACGUUCUUUUGCAUUAAGAUUUUGUGCAUCCAACCAUAAAAGCGCAUGAUAACCUCUGCUUCCCUCUACGAAGGGCCUAUCUUUUACUUUUAUCUUCUACCCUUAUACAAGAGUCAUGGUGAUCAUCACUUUUCCUUUUUACACUUUUUCCAUUGGCAAGCACUUUGUGUUGGAGCGAUCCAGAUAUAUAUAUCCACUUGGAUGUAGGUUUUCAUAAAUUAUUAUUGUUGACAUUACCCUUGAGGUAAAUGGUUGGGAGGCGAAACUAUAAGCCCCUAUCUUUCUCUAUGUCCGAUUAAAACUUUGAACCCAUAAAUAUCACAUGAGUGUUAGCAAUUGUGAAAGAUUAAAUGAUAGUUGAGUAUGCGAAGUUUGCUGAACCAAAGCUCUUACAUAGACCCUUCCCGAAAAUAAGAUGAAUUGCAAUUGUUUGAUGACUAAGAGCAUGGUUUGUUAGUUUUCAAGAAAGUUUAUGAUCUAUACUUUAACAUGUGAAUAGCUUGUUACUUGAUCAUGAGAAGUUUUAUGAGUUGAGCUACUGUUAUGAUAUAUAAUCAUAUUAGAAAAAGUGAUUGAAACUAUCAUUGAUCAAACUUAAGCACUUGCUAGCAUUCACACUUCACAAAUUAUUUCUUUUAUCAUUUACCUACUCGAGGACGACCAAGAAUUAAGCUUGGGGAUGCUGAUACGUCUCCAACAUAUCUAUAAUUUAUGAAGUAUGCAUGCCAUGUUUACAAUAGUUCUAUAUGAUUUUGGUACGAUUUGAUUAGAACUAACCCAGACUGACGCUGUUUUCAGCAGAACUACCGUGGUGUUGUUUUUGUGCAGAAAUCAAAGUUCUUGGAAUGCGCUGAAAAUCAACGGAUAUUUUUUUGGAAAAUAUAAAAAAUACUGGAACAAAAAUCUACCGGAGGGGAGUCCUGAGGGGCCCACGAGGGUGGAGGGCGCCCCCACCCCCCUGGGGCGCGCCCCUGUGCCCCGUGGACUCCCCGUGGGGCCCCCUAACUUGUCCUCGAUGCCAACCUCUCCUAUAAAUGCCCAAACCUCCAGAAAAUAACCUAAAUCAGAAAUUCUGUCGCCGCAAGCCUCUGUAGCCACGAGAAAUCAAUCUAGGCCCUCUCUGGCACCUUGUCGGAGGGGGCCAUCAUCACCGGAGGCCAUGGGGGAGGAUCUCGGAGGGGCCAUCAUCGCCAAGAAGGCCAAGGACCAGAGGGGGAACCUCUCCCCAUCCAGGGGGAGGCCAUGGAGGAGUAAACACAAGGGGGAGAACCUCUCCUCCUCUCUCUCGGUGGCGUCGGAGUGCCAUCGGGAGGGGAAUCAUCGCCGCGGUGAUCGUCUUCAUCAACAUCACCAUCAUCAUCACCAUCCUCAUCUCUUUUACACGGUCCACUCUCCCGCACCCCGCUGUAAUCCCUACUUGAACAUGGUGCUUUAUGCCACAUAUUAUGAUCCAAUGAUGUGUUGCCAUCCUAUGAUGUUUUGAGUAGAUAUUCUUUGUCUUUGGGUUGAUUGAUGAUCUGGAUUGGUAUGAGUUGUAUGUUUUAUUUUGGUACUGUCCUAUUGUGUGCGCCGUGUCGCGCAAGCAUGAGGGAUUCCCACUGUAGGUUGUUGCAAUACGUUCAUGAUUCUCUUAUAGUGGGUUGCUUGAGUGACGGAAGCAUAAACCCGAGUAAGGGGGUUGUUGCGUAUGGGAUAAAGGGGACUUUAUAUGUUAAUGCUAUGGUGGGUUUUACCUUAAUGAUCUUUAGUAGUUGUGGAUGCUUGCUAGAGUUCCAAUCAUAAGUGCAUAUGAUCCAAGAAGAGAAAGUAUGUUAGCUUAUGCCUCUCCCUCAUAUGAAAUUGCAAUAGUGAUUACCGGUCUUGUUAACAAUUGCCUAGGACAAUUCCGCACACCGACCCAUCAUUAUUCCACACUCGCUAUUUAUAAUACUUAAGUAAUAUAUUCUAACUCUAUGAUAACAACACCUACUUUUAUAUUUUAGCUCUCCGAUAUCAUACAAAGUUAUCCUCUUCAUACCCACAACGUAGUUUUAUUUCUCGUUUCUAGUUGGAAGCAAAUGUUCGGUGUACAUAGAGUCGUAUCAGUGGCAGAUAGAACUUGAGAGAAUAUGAUCUUACCUUUAGCUCCUUGUGGGUUCGACACUCCCUACUUAUCACUUCCACCUUUGGGAAUUGCUACGAUGAUUCCCUACACUUGGGGAUUAUUAGUGCCAGCGUUGAGCAUGAACAUUAUAUCUGGAUCUUGUUUAUUGCGAGACAAUUAUUCAUUUAAAUCAGAGAAUAAUGGUUGUUCUAUUUAUAUGAGUAAUAUCUUUUAUGGUCAUGCACCCUUGUUGAGUGGUCUAUUUUUGUUGAAUCUCGAUCAUGGUGAUACGCAUGUUCAUAAUAUUGAAGCCAAAAGAUGCAAAGUUGAUAAUGAUAGUGCAACUUAUUUGUCGCACUGCCGUUUAGGUCAUAUUGGUGUAAAGCGCAUGAAGAAACUCCAUGCCGAUGGGCUUCUGGAAUCACUUGAUUAUGAAUCACUUGGUGCUUGCGAACCAUGCCUCAUGGGCAAGAUGACUAAAACUCCGUUCUCCGAAACAAAGGAACGAGCUACUGACUUAUUGGAAAUAAUACAUACUGAUGUAUGCGGUCCAAUGAGUGUUGAGGCUCGUGGCAGGUAUCGUUAUUUUCUUACCUUCACAGAUGAUUUGAGCAGAUAUGGGUAUAUCUACUUAAUGAAACAUAAGUCUGAAACGUUUGAAAAGUUCAAAGAAUUUCAGAGUGAAGUGAAAAAUCAUCGUAACAAGAAAAUAAAGUUUCUUUGAUCUGAUCAUGGAGGCGAAUAUUUGAGUUACGAGUUUGGUCUUCAUUUGAAACAAUGUGGAAUAGUUUCGCAACUCACGCCACCUAGAACACCACAGUGUAAUGGUGUGUAUGAAUGUUGUAACCGUGCUUUAUUGGAUAUGGUGCGAUCUAUGAUGUCUCUUACUGAUUUACCGCUAUCGUUUUGGGGUUAUACUUUAGAGACGGCUGCAUUCACGUUAAAUAGGGCACCAUCGAAAUCUGUUGAGACGACGCCUUAUGAAACGUGGUUUGGCAAGAAACCCAAGUUGUUGUUUCUUAAAGUUUGUGGCUACGAUGCUUAUGUGAAAAAGCUUCAACCUGAUAAGCUCAAACCCAAAUCGGAGAAGUGCGUCUUCAUAGGAUACCCAAAGGAAACUGUUGGGUACACCUUCUAUCACAGAUCCGAAGGCAAGAUAUUCGUUGCUAAGAAUGGAUCCUUUCUAGAGAAGGAGUUUCUCUUGAAAGAAGUGAAUGGGAGGAAAGUAGAACUUGAUGAGGUAAUAGUACCUUCUCCCGAAUUGGAAAGUAGUUCAUCAUAGAAAUCAGUUCGAGUGAUUCCUAACAAAUUAGUGAGGAAGCUAAUGAUGAUCAUGAAACUUCAGAUCAAGUUACUACAGGACCUCAUAGGUCUUCUAGAGUACAGUCUGCACCAGAGUGGUAUGGUAAUCCUGUUCUGGAAGUCAUGUUACUAGACCAUGAUGAACCUACGAACUAUGAGGAAGUGAUGAUGAGCCCAGAUUCCGUGAAAUGGCUUGAGGCCAUGAAAUCUGAGAUGGGAUCCAUGUAUGAGAACGAAGUAUGGACUUUGGUGGACUUGCCCGAUGAUCGGCAAGCCAUAGAAAAUAAAUGUAUAUUCAACAAGAAGACUGACGCCAACGAUAAUGUUACUGUCUACAAAGCUCGACUUGUUGCAAAAGGUUUUUGGCAAGUUCAAGGAGUUGACUACGAUGAGACUUUCUCACCCGUAGCGAUGCUUAAGUCUGUCCAAAUCAUGUUAGCAAUUGCCGCAUUUUAUGAUUAUGAAAUUUGGCAGAUGGAUGUCAAAAUUGCAUUCCUUAAUGGAUUUCUUGAAGAAGAGUUGUAUAUGAUGCAACCAGAAGGUUUUGUCGAUCCAAAGGGUGCUAACAAAGUGUGCAAGCUCCAGCAAUCCAUUUAUGGACUGGUGCAAGCCUCUUGGAGUUGGAAUAAACACUUUGAUAGUGUGAUCAAAGCAUAUGGUUUUAUAAAGACUUUUGGAGAAGCCUAUAUUUACAAGAAAGUGAGUGGGAGCUCUGUAGCAUUUAUAAUAUUAUAUGUGGAUGACAUAUUGUUGAUUGGAAAUGAUAUAGAAUUUCUGGAUAGAAUAAAAGGAUACUUGAAUAAGAGUUUUUCAAUGAAAGACCUCGGUGAAGCUGCUUACAUAUUGGGCAUCAAGAUCUAUAGAGAUAGAUCAAGAUGCUUAUUGGACUUUCACAAAGCACAUACCUUGAUAAAUUUUUGAAGAAGUUCAAAAUGGAUCAGUCAAAGAAAGGGUUCUUGCCUGUGUUACAAGGUGUGAAGUUGAGUUAGACUCAAUUCCCGACCACUGCAGAAGAUAGAGAGAAAAUGAAACUCAUUCCCUAUGCUUCAGCCAUAGGUUCUAUCAUGUAUGCAAUGUUGUGUACCAGACCUGUUGUGUGCCUUGCUAUAAGUAUAGCAGGGAGUACCAAAGUAAUCCGGGAGUAGAGCACUGGUCAGCGGUCAAGAACAUCCUGAAAUACCUGAAAAGGACUAAGGAUAUGUUUCUUGUUUAUGGAGGUGACAAAGAGCUUGUCGUAAAUGGUUACGUCGAUGCAAGCUUUGACACUGAUCCGAACGACUCUAAGUCACAAUCCAGAUACGUAUUUAUAUUGAUGGUGGAGCUGUCAGUUGGUGCAGUUCCAAGCAGAGCGUCGUGGUGGGAUCUACAUGUGAAGCAGAGUACAUAGCUGCUUUGGAAGCAACAAAUGAAGGAGUCUGGAUGAAGGAGUUCAUAUCCGAUCUAGGUGUAAUACCUAGUGCAUCGGGUCCAAUGAAAAUCUUUUGUGACAAUACUGGAGCAAUUGCCUUGGUAAAAGAAUCCAGAUUUCACAAGAGAACCAAACACAUCAAGAGACGCUUCAAUUCCAUCCGGCAUCAAGUCACGGAGGGAGACAUAGAGAUUUGCAAAAUACAUACAGAUCUGAAUUUUGCAGACCCGUUGACUAAGCCUCUUUCAUGAGCAAGACAUGAUCAGCACCAAGACUCCAUGGGUGUUAGAAACAUUACUUUGUAAUCUAGAUUAUUGACUCUAGUGCAAGUGGGAGACUGAAGGAAAUAUGCCCUAGAGGCAAUAAUAAAGUUGUUAUUUAUAUUUCCUUAUAUCAUGAUAAAUGUUCAUUAUUCAUGCUAGAAUUGUAUUAACCGGAAACUUAGUACAUGUGUGAAUACAUAGACAAAACAUAGUGUCCCUAGUAUGCCUCUACUUGACUAGCUCGUUAAUCAAAGAUGGUUAUGUUUCCUAACCAUAGACAUGUGUUGUCAUUUGAUGAACGGGAUCACAUCAUCAGGAGAAUGAUGUGAUGGACAAGACCCAUCCGUUAGCUUAGCAUUAUGAUCAUUACAGUUUCAUUGCUACUGCUUUCUUCAUGACUUAUACAUGUUCCUCAGACUAUGAGAUUAUGCAACUCCCGAAUACCGGAGGAACACCUUGUGUGCUAUCAAAUGUCACAAUGUAAUUGGGUGAUUAUAAAGAUGCUCUACAGGUGUCUCCAAAGAUACUUGUUGGGUUGGCAUAGAUCAAGAUUAGGUUUGUCACUCCAUGUAUCGGAGAGGUAUCUCUGGGCCCUCUCGGUAAUGCUCAUCACUAUAAGCCUUGCAAGCAAUGUGACUGAUGAGUUAGUUGCAAGAUGAAGCAUUAUGGAACGAGUAAAGAGACUUGCCGGUAAUGAGAUUGAACUAGGUAUGAUGAUACCGACGAUCGAAUCUCGGGCAAGUAACAUACCGAUGACAAAGGGAACAACGUAUGUUGUUAUGCGGUUUGACCGAUAAAGAUCUUCGUAGAAUAUGUAGGAGCCAAUAUGAGCAUCCAGGUUCCGCUAUUGGUUAUUGAUUGAAGAUGUGUCUCAAUCAUGUCUACAUAGUUCUCAAACUCGUAGGGUCCGCACGCUUAACAUUCGAUGAUGAUUUGUAUUAAGAGUUAUGUGUUUUUGAUGACCGAAGUUUGUUCGGAGUCCCGGAUGAGAUCACGGACAUGACGGGGAGUCUCAAAAUGGUCGAGACAUAAAUAUUGAUAUAUUGGAAGGUUAUGUUCGGACACCGGAAAGGUUCUGGAGUGAUUCAGACAUUUUUUUGGAGUACUAGGAGGUACCGGAACCCUCAGGGGGAAGAAAUGAGCCUUAAUUUGCUUUAGUGGAAAGGAGAGGAGGGCCGCAGGGUGGUCGCCCCCCUUGGCAGGUCCGAAUUGGACUAGGGAGGGGGCGGCGCCCCCCCCCCCUCUUUCCUUCUCCCUCUCCUACUCUUUCCCUCUCUCCCCUCUUGGAAAAGGAAGGGGAUUCCAACUAGGAUUGGGAAUCCUAGUUGGACUCCCACUAUAGGUGCGCCCCUCCUAGGUCGUCGGCCUCCUCCCUCCCUCCUUUAUAUACGGGGGCAGGGGGCACCCCAAAGCAUAACAGACAAUCUCUUAGCUGCGUGCGGUGCCCCCCUCCAUAUUUAACACCUCGGUCAUAUUGUCAUAGUUCUUAGGCGAAGCCCUGCACCGGUAACAUCAUCAACACCGUCGCCACGCCGUCGUGCUGACGGAACUCUCCCUCGACCCUCUACUGGAUCAAGAGCUCGAGGGACGUCAUCGUGCUGAACGUGUGCUGAACACAGAGGUGCCGUACGUUCGGUACUUGGAUCGGUUGGACCGUGAAGACGUUCGACUAUAUCAACCGCGUUACUAAACGCUUCCGCUUUCGGUCUACGAGGCUACGUGGACACACUCUCCCAUCUCGUUGCUAUGCAUCUCCUAGAUAGAUUUUGCUUGAUCGUAGUAAUUUUUCUGAAUUACUACGUUCACCAACACUUGCUUCCAAGGCCCUGGAUGUACUGCAUGAAGGCGCGGCUUGUGAACUGGGUGUCGUUGUCGGUGGUUACUCUACUUGGUACUCCAAAAUGACACACCAGUCCCUUGAAGAACUUGAUAGGUAACUGCGUCGUCACCUUUCUCAUUGGUUCCACUUCGGGCCACUUUGUAAACUUGUCCAUUGCCACGUACAAGAAUACAAAGCCCCCGAUAGCACGGGAGAAGGGGCCCAAGAUGUUGAGCCCCUAGACUGCAAAGGUCCAGGAUAAAGGGAUGGUCUGCAAGUCUUGAGCUGGUUGAUGGAUAUUCUUGGAAUGGAACUGCCAUGCUUCACACUUGGUGACGAGCUCACUAGCAUCCCGGAGGGUGGUGGGCCAGUAGAAUCCUUGCUGGAAAGCUUUCCCCAUAAGUGCUCUUGAUCCCAGAUGUGAGCCACACACGCCUCCAUGUAUCUCUGCCAACAGCACUAGUCCAUUCUCUUGACUGAUACACUUUAGCUUCACGCUGUUGGGCCUCUUUCUGUACAGAAUGUUGUCCACAAACUGAUACAUACUUGAUUGCCAGGCCACUUUCUCACAUUCCUCUGGAUCGUCAGGAAGUUCUCCAGCUUGCAAGAAUUGUACUAUGCGUUGUGCCCAUGUCGGAGCCUAAGGCUCGACGACAAGGACUAAAGGCAUUUCUUCAGUUGUGGGAGCACUUUCUUCAACAGCAAGAAUUUGGAAUUCUGCUUGAGAGCAUGGCUCACCAGUUAGCAUAGGAUUUGCCCCGACAACCUUCUCACCAGCGGCUCCAGGUAGGUCUGCCAAAAAAUGUUUGCGUGUGUUGAGUUUUCUUCUUUUUCUGGACAAGGCUGAUGGAGAAAUUGUCGGUUGGGUGAGGUGCAGCACAAAAGUACCUGGUUCCACAGGAAGCUUCUGUGCAGCACACUUCAACAAGUGAUCAGCAAUGUUGUUUUCUGCACGAGGUACAUGCUCUGUUUGCAACCCAUUGAUGUGUUCCUCCACCUUCCUCACCUCUUCCACGUAAGCUUCCAUCAGCGGGCUCUGAUAAUCCUUGUUCAUCUACUUCACAACGAGCUAGGAGUCGCCGCGUAUGAUCAACUUCUUGAUUCCCAAUUCGACAGCAACAUGGAGCCCGACAAGGAGCCCUUCAUAUUAUGUUGUGUUGUUGGUGGCAUCUUCCGUGGGGAAAUGCAUUUGGACGACGCACUUGAGGUGUUCUCCGGUGGGCAGAAUGAGUAAUACUCCCGCGCCAGCACCUUGGAGCGAAAAAGCUCCAUCAAAGUACAUGACCGAUUCCUUAGGGGCCUCCUUGCUGGGGAGGGCAGUUUCCACAAUCUCUUCAUCAGGUGUUGGCGUCCACUCCGCUAUGAAUUCUGCCAAUGCUCUACUUUGGAUAGUUGUUGUGCUCUCAAAUUUCAAGGCAAAACUUGAUAGCUCCAGAGCCCACUCUACUCUCCUGCCGGUAGCUUUGGGGUUCCUCAAGAUUCGCUGUAGUGGGAGGCGAGUCACAAUAGUGAUCUCGUGGGCUUGAAAGUAAUGGCGCAGUUUCCUCGAGGCCAUGAGGAGGCCGAAGAUCAAUUUUUGGGCGCCAGAGUACCUUGACCUAGCCCCCUGCAAAAGGGAGCUAACAAAGGAAACUGGUCGAUGCACCAUCUUCAUUCUUGCCACCCCUUCCCGCUUAUCAGUGCAGAUCUGUGGUUUCCCUUCGAUGCCACCAGUAGGCCAUGUCGGUGACAAAGCUGGUUCAACACUGGGCUGUUCCGUCGCAGAAGCUUCUCCACUAUCGACUUCCCUCUGUGCCACCAAGGCAACACUGACCACUUGAUUUGUUGCCGCUAGAUACAUCAUCAAUGACUCUUGUGGUUUGGGUGCGACCAGCAUUGGAGCAGAGGAGAGGUAAGCUUUCAAAUCCUUCAGCGCAACCUCGACCUCUGGAGUCCAUUUCAUUGGGCCGGCUUUCUUCAAAAUUUUGAAGAACGGCAGGGUGUGCUCAGCGGAUUUAGAAAUGAACCUGCUCAAUGUAACCACACAGCCAGUCAGAUGUCUCACAUCCUUGAUGGUCUUCGGGGCUUAAAUUCGUUCUAUCGCCUUCAUCUUGUCAGGGUUAGCUUCUAUCCCUCGUUGAGACACAAACAACCCAAGGAGCUUGCUGGAUGGAACACCAAACACACAUUUCUCUGGGUUAAGCUUUGAUAACCCGCAAGUAUACGGGAUAGUUGUAGCCUCUUUCGAUAAGUAAGAGUGUCGAACCCAACGAGGAGCUAAAGGUAGAACAAAUACUCUCUCAAGUCCUAUCGGCCACUGAUACGACUCUACACACGCUUGACGUUCGCUUUACCUCGAACAAGUAUGAAACUAGAAGUACUUUGUAGGUGUGAUAGGAUAGGUUUGCAAGAUAAUAAAGAACACGUAAAUAAAAAGUAGGGGCUGUUUAGAUAAAGAUGCAAUAAAGUAAAUAAAGCGAGUGUGGAAAAGUGGUGGUAGGAGUUGUGAAAGUGUCCCUAAGCAAUUGACUACUUUACUAGACCGAUAGCAAGUUUUAUGUGGGAGAGGCCACUGCUAGCAUGUCAUCCCUGACUUGGAAUUCUAUGCACUUAUGAUUGGAACUAUUAGCAAGCAACCACAACUACUAACUUUCAUUAAGGUAAAACCCAACCAUAGCAUUAAGAUAUAUUGGUCCCCCUUCAAUCCCGUAUGCAUCAAUUUCUAUGCUAGGUGGAAGCUUCUGUCACUCUAGCCCUCCAAUACAUAGUCCUAUCAACAUACAACUAACCCUAUGGUGUGAUCCACGUGUGCGCUCAUAUGAUGGGCACCAUAGGACAGCAACAUAACCACAAGCAAAUUAAAUCAAUCAUAGCAAUUCAUCAACCACCAAUAGGACAACGAAAAUCUACUCAGACAUCAUAGGAUGGCAACACAUCAUUGGGAAAUAAUAUGAAGCAUAAAGCACCAUGUUCAAGUAGAGGUUACAGCGGGUUGCGGGAGAGUGGACCGCUGGAUAUAGAUGGGGGAAGGUGAUGGAGAUAUUGGUGAAGAUGACGACGGUGUUGGUGAAGAUCGCGGUGAUGAUGAUGGCCCCCGGAGGCGUUCCGGUGCCACCGGAAGCAAGGGGGAGAGAGCCCCCCUUCUUCUUCUUCUUCCUUGACCUUCUCCCUAGAUGGGAGAAGGGUUUCCCCUUUGGUCCUUGGCUCCCAUGGCGUGGGAGGGGCGAGAGCCCCUCCGAGAUUGGAUCUAUCUCUCUGUUUCUGCGUCCUCUAAUCCUUCCCCUUCACUGUUUCCUUUAUAUCUGGAGAUCCGUAACUCCGAUUGGGGUGAAUCUUUCUCCCAUAUUUUUCUCAUAAAAUUAGCUUUCUUGCGAGAAAAGAAGAGCGUCAACCGCCUUAUGGGUGGCCCACGAGAGCCCAGGGCGCGCCCAAGGGGGGGGCGCCCCCUGUCUCAUGACCACCUCGAACACUGUUUCGCGUUGAUUCUUCCUCCGGAAAAUCCCAAAUAUUCCAAAAUAAUUCUCCAUCUGUUUUUAUCUCGUUUGGAUUCCGUUUGAUAUUGGUUUUCUACGAAACAUAAAACAUGCAACAGACAUGAACUGGCACUGGGCCCUGGAUCAAUAUGUUAGUCCCAAAAAUAAUAUAAAAAAUUGCCAAAAGUGUAUGGAAGUUGAAGAAUAUUGGCAUGGAACAAUCAAAAAUUAUAGAUACGACGGAGACGUAUCAGCAUCCCCAAGCUUAAUUCCUGCUCGUCCUCGAGUAGGUAAAUGAUAAAAAAAAUUGAUGUGGAAUGCUACCUAGCAUAAUCUUGAUCAAAUGUCUAAUCAUGGCAUGAAUAUUAAGAUACGAGUGAUUCAAGGCAAUAGUCUAUCAUUUGACAUAAAAACAAUAAUACUUUAAGCAUACCAACCAAGCAAUUAUGUCUUAUCGGAAUAACAUAGCCAAAGAAAGCUCAUCCCUACAAAAUCAUAUAGUCUGGCUAUGCUCCAUCUUCGUCACACAAAAUGCUCCCAUCAUGCACAACCCCGAUGACGAGUCGAGCAAUUGGUUCAUACUUUUUAACGCGCUUCAGCUUUUUCAACUCUUACACAAUACAUGAGCACAAGCCAUGGACAUAGCACUAUGGUGGUAUAUGGUGGUGGUUUUGAGGACAAAAAGGGAGAAGAUAGUCUCACAUCAACUAGGCGUAUCAACGGGCUAUGGAGAUUCCCAUCAAUAGAUAUCAAUGUGAGUGAGUAGGGAUUGUCAUGCAACGGAUGCACUAAGAGCUAUAAGUGUAUGAAAGCUUAAACUGGAAACUAAGUGGGUGUGCAUCCAACUUGCUUGCUCAUGAAGACCUCGGGCGUUUGAGGAAGCCCAUCAUCGGAAUAUACAAGCCAAGUUCUAUAAUGAAAAUUCCCACUAGUAUAUGAAAGUGAAAGCAUAGGAGACUCUCUCUAUGAAGAACAUGGUGCUACUUUGAAGCACACGUGUGGUAAAAGGAUAGUAACAUUUCCCCUUCUCUCUUUUUCUCUAUUUUUUUCUUUUUUCUUCUUUUUUUAUAUUUUUUCUUUCUUUUUGGUGGGCUUCUUUGGCCUCCUUUUUUAUUUGGGCUUCUUUGGCCUCUUUUAUUUUUCAUAAAGUCCGGAGUCUCAUCCCGACUUGUGGGGGAAUCAUAGUCUCCUUCAUCCUUUCCUCACUAGGGCAAUGCUCUAACAAUGAUGAUCAUCACACUUUUACUUACUUACAACUCAAUAUUACAACUCUCGAACAAAGAUAUGACUCUAUAUGAAUGCUUCCGGCGGUGUACCAGGAUGUGCAAUGAUCUAGCAUAGCAAUGACAUCAAAAAAAGGACAAGCCAUGAAAACAUCAUGCUAGCUAUCUUACGAUCAUGCAAAGCAAUAUGACAAUGAAUGCUCAAGUCAUAUAUAUGAUGAUGAUGGAAGUUGCAUGGUAAUAUAUCUCGGAAUGGCUAUGGAAAUGCCAUAAUAGGUAGGUAUGGUGUCUGUUUUGAGGAAGGUAAAUAAUGGGUUCAUGGUAUCGGCGAAAGUUGCGCGGCACAAUAGAGGCUAGCAAAGUGGAAGGGUGAGUGUGCGUAUAUCCAUUGACUCACAUUAGUCAUAAAGAACUCAUAUACUUAUUGCAAAAGUCUACUUAGCCCUCGAAGCAAAAGUACUACUACGCAUGCCCCUAGGGGGAUAGAUUGGUAGGAAAAGACCAUCGCUCGUCCCCGACUGCCACUCAUAAGGAAGACAAUCAAAAAGCACCUCAUGCUCCAACUUCAUUACAUAACGGUUCACCAUACGUGCAUGCUACGGGACUUGCAAACCUCAACACAAGUAUUUCUCAAUUUCACAAUUACUCAACUAGCACGACUCUAAUAUCACCACCUUUAUAUCGCAAAACUAUUGCAAGGAAUCAAACACAUCAUAUUCAGUGAUCUACAAGUUUAUGUAGGAUUUUAUGACUAACCAUGUGAAUGACCAAUUCCUGUCAUCUCUCUAAAUAGAUAUAAGUGAAGCAAGAGAGUUUAAUUCUUUCUACAAAAGAUAUUCCCACGCUCUAUCAAAUAUAAGUGAAGCAAAAGAGCAUUCUACAAAUGGUGGUUGUCUAUAUGAAGAGAAACAGGCAAUCCAAACUUCAAAUGAUAGAAGUGAAGCACAUGAAGCAUUCUAUAAAGCCACACUCAAAAGAUUUAAGUGAAGUGAAAUGAGCAUUCUAUAAAUCAACCAAAGAUUAUCUCAUACCAUCAUGGUGCAUAAAAGAAAAAUGAAAACUAAAUGCAGAAGACACUCCAAGACUUGCACAUAAUGCAUGAAUGAAACGAAUUCGAAAACAUACGGAUACUUGUUGAAGAAAGAGGGGAUGCCUUCCGGGGCAUCCCCAAGCUUAGAUGCUUGAGUCUCCUUGAAUAUUUACUUGGGGUGCCUCAGGCAUCCCCAAGCUUGAGCUCUUGCCUCUCUUCCUUUUCCUCAUAUCGAGACAUCCUCGAUUAGACACUACAUCGACACAAAACUUCAACAGAAAACUCGGUAAGAUCCGUUAGUAUAAUAAAGCAAAUCACCACUCUAAUUACUGUUGCAAACCAAUUCAUAUUUUGUCUUUGCAUUGUGUCUACUGUAAUAUAACUUUUUCAUGGCUUAAUCCACUAAUAUAAAUUGAUAGAUUCAUCAAAACAAGCAAACUAUGCAUCAAAAACAGAAUCUGUUAAAAACAGAACAGUCUGUAGCAAUCUGAACAUCCACCAUACUUCUGUUACCCCAAAACUUCUACCAAAAUUAGGAAAAAUAAAAAAGUUGUAUAGAAAGACAGUGCAAAAGGAAUCAGAACUAAUUGACAUUCCAGUUAAAAAUGUAAAAUCGCGCACUACAGCCAAAGUUUCUGUCCUGCACCGUACAAACCAACAAGCAUUGUAAACAUCCUAAAGGAAAACCUUGGCACAUUAUUUUUAUAAUACAAUGGAAUUGUACAAGGGGAUAAUUAUUUUUGUUGAAAAGUUUUUGUAAUCAAGAUUCACAAAGUUUCCAUGAGCAUGAACAAAGUUCAAGGCUAGCUCCCACUUCAACAAUGCUUGUCUCUCUCACUUUCACUUUCCUUUUUGAAAAGUUUUUAGGUUCCCCUCUUUAUUUUUGUGUUUUUAAACUAUAUAAAAGCACUCAACAGAAAUAAAUGACUCUCUAAAACUUCCGGGUUGUCUCCCUGGCAGCGCUUUCUUUAAAGCCAUUAAGCUAGGCAUUUAGUGCUCAAGUAAUGAAUCCACCCGGAUCCCAAGGUAUAUCAAAGCCAAUUUUAAUUAACAAUGAUUUGUAAUUUAGCAGUGAGCACAAAGUAACAUAUAUCAAGCAACAACGAAGUCUAACUCUCUUCCUAUGCAUCGGCAUGGCAUAAAAGAACAAUUCAUGCACACCAAGUAAAGGCCAAUGCAUAGUAUAAGUAGUUUCUUGCAAUUCUAUCGUGUUGGAAACAUAAAGAGGCGGAGAUGUAGUUCCUCUCUCAUAAUAAUUGCAAGCAGGAGCAGCAAGCACAUGCAUAUUAUAUCUAUCAAAAUCAUCAUGUGCAAUGGUAAAAGGCAACCCAUCAAUACAAUCCUUAAUAAGCACAAACUUCUCCGAUAAAGUGUAGUAGGGAGAAUUCAAAAAGAUAAUAGGACUAUCAUGCGUGGGUGCAAUAGCAACAAUUUCAUGUUUAACAUAAGGAACUAUAGCAAGUUCAUCUCCAUAAGCAUAAUUCAUAUUGGCAUCUUGGCCACAAGCAUAGCAAGCAUCAUCAAAAAGGGAUAUUUCAAACAAAUUCAAGGGAUCAUAGCAAUCAUCAUAGCAAUCAUCCUUCGGUAAGCACGAAGGGGAAUUAAACAAUGUAUGAGUUGAAGAGUUAUUCUCAUUAGAAGGUGAGCACGGGUAGCUAAUCUGCUCUUCCUCCUUUUGUUCUUCGCUCUCCUCAUCAUCUUUUUCAUCCAAUGAGCUCACAGUUUCAUCAAUUUCUUCAUCCAUAGCUUCCUGCAAAAUAUUAGUCUCUUCUUGGACAGCGGAUACUUUCUUCAUAAAAGCAUUAAGAUAAUAAUUGUAUUCAUAAUUUUCAUAGCAAUAUCUAAGUAUAGCAAGAUUUUCAGGCCUAUAACCAUCAUCAUCAAAAGCUUCAUACUUUUCAAACAAAGCUUCAAUUUCAUAAGCAGCCUUAAAAGCAACAAAUUCUUCUAUUUGUUCCACAUCAUAGUAAUCAUAUAUACCAUUAGCAUAAGAAGCUAAGGUUUCAUUAUCAUUAAAUUUGCAUGAAAAGGGAACGUGUGGAGCCUUCAUCCUAGAGCAACAAGUAAUAUCAUAUCUCAAGCAGAGAUUCCAGGCAUACCAACGCAACAUAAUAAAUUGAUCCCGUAAUAGUUUCCCUUUUUGUGUCGAGCGAUAAUCCCUAAAGUAUUCACGUUGAACCAACAUGUCUCCCAUUAUAAAGUUGAAUGGGGUUUUCUCAGGAUUAUCAAAGUAGUACAUAAUAUCUUUCACGUAAUGAGAAUCGGGGGUUUCAGGAGUUACCCCAUCUACAUGAGUAGCAAGUACAUCUAUUUUUUUUGGUAUUUUGCGUUCCAUAUCCAUAACUAAAGAUAGAGAACAACUU